rnacentral:lncRNA from 1 species
AGAUAUUUGGUGGUAAUUUUUAUUGUGACAUUUCCAUUAUAAAAUAUCAAUGUUGUUGCAUUAGUAAAGCUCUGUAACUUGUUUUAUAUGUUCACUAUUGUAGUUAGUCGAUCUGAAUUUAAAAGGAGGUGCAGAGAUGUUGGUAUUAAAAGGUGGCAAUAUGGCAAGAGAAAGAUGGGUAGCAACCGUUCUUCAAAGCACAAGCAAAGACUAAACAAUGGGUAUUCGACAGACAUGCCUCAUGUGCAAGAUCAACCUGUUAUUGCCCUUACAACCCGGGUCUAGAAUACGAUGGAUGUAAGGGUAAUGUAUAACGACCUCAUUAUAAGGUUUGAACUGCCUGAACUAUCAGGAAUAUCAGAGUUAGAAGACAAUGUGAUUAAGAGGCUGCACUUGGAUAGACAGAGUUUCAGCAUCAAGUAUGAAGAUGAUGGCGGUCAUUGGGUUUUAAUUACUUGUGACGAGGAUGUGCAGUACUGUAUGAAAAUGUCAAGAUUAUGGAAGAAGAAAACUAUUAAUAUGUUGGUUAGCCAGACUGCUAAUCUUUAAGCUCCUUGAAAGCAGAUGGCACCCAUUUUUUACCCUCCCAGAGAUAUUUAUAUGAUCUGCUUGCUGCCUUUUCUACAGCAGUAUGACAUCACUAAUAUUACAGACCACAGCAAUAGUUUGGCGUGUAGCAUAACUCCAAUAGAUGUUGCAGACUUGUAGCAUAACUAUUAUCUUCUGAGAUUUGUUAUUUUUUUAGUACAUAGUCGAUGUGCAAGUUAUCACACUGUACUGAAGGGCACUGGGAAUAACUACGUAGUCAACCUGAAAAUCUUGUUUCUCUGUCAAAUGAUGCGGUUAUUUUGGAAAUUUAUAAUUUCUUAAAAAUUAUAAACCAAAAAAGUGUGUGCAUUUAGUGUAAUUAUAAAUCUGUAUACUUCUUUCUCCACUUUUUUAGUGCUGUGUUUUCAGUUUCAGCCAGUUUGCGAUUGUUAAAUGUAUUCUGUAAACUUCAUGUCUUUCAGCUUCUUGUGAAAAAAUAUACCAUGGAGAGGCUAGCAGAGAUAUACAGCAAAAGUUGCUUAGAGUGCUCUAACAGAGAAAGUGAUGAUGAGUAUGAUUGGAUUCCUGCAAAGAUUUUAAGGUGUUUCUAUGACAAAGAUUUCAGGCAAGUUACAUUAUCUUGCGUACAGACAUAUAUAUAAACAUAUGUAGGAAAAUAAGUACACUUUACUAGCAUGAAGCUCUUGGAGAACUUUUCUAAUUUGAUGUCUUAAACCAUAUGAAUGUUCCUUUUUAAUCUUGUAUAAUUAUAUUGAGGAUAGGAGGUAUAAUGAGACACUAUUGAGGUCCCGGGAACAACAUGAUUGAAAAUUAUAUAUACUCUACAGGUCAGAUGCUGUCGAACCUAUCCUAUGCUCAUCCCUUUUUCCCAAUGAGUUUUCUGUCAAAGAUAAGGUUAGAAAAUGGGUUAGAGUUUUUCCAAGAUUUGACAGAUUGAAAUAAAGGCUCUUGAAAAAAUACUGUUGCAAAGCAAAGGUAAGCUGUUAUGCAACUCUCCAUAUCCUUGUUCAUUUAUAUUCGCAUUAAUUUUAUUGAAUGCUCUUCCUACUUGGUUUGCAGGUUACAGCAAGAGAUGCUGAGGUAUCUUUCCUCAAGGCAGAUGCAUCAGGUAUGCCAACUGAACAGAAAAAGAGAUGAGAGAAAUUUUCUUCUAAAAUUGAUAGAGUGAAAAAUAAGGGCAUAUAUUACAUGUUUCUGCAUGGUGUUUAGUGAGUGAUUUACUGAUUUACCAGGUGAUGAUAAAAAAAAAAAAAAAAAANGAAAAAAAAAAAAAAAAAAAAAAAAAAAAAGCAUAAAGAAAGCUACUAGAAGAAAAAAUGAGAAGGGAGAACUAUUAGUUUGAACUAUCUAUUCUCAAUCAUUUGCAGGAGAAUGAUGUUCCAGAGUUCCAGAAAAAGGCUAUGACUUGCUUCCGCAUUAUGUCUCGUAGUUUUAUAGAUCCAGGAAAAACAGAGGAGAACAUUUUAAUACGUGAUGAAUUAAAAGAUGCUGAUGUUUGGAAAAAUAUUACAACUCUACAUGAUCAAGUACUAUAUGUCUACAAGCUUGUUGUUCUCGGGUACGGAUAUAAAUCAGAAAUAGAUCAUUCAAUAUCAUUAGAGAUGAUAGUUGGUGCAUAAAUGCCCUUUCCAGUGAUUCCUAAACAAAAUUUUCUGCAGGAUGAUGUACUAAAGAUCCUUGGGGAGAAGCAUGGACUCUAUGAGUAUUACGUGCUCUCUCGAUGAAAUGUUCAUAUAUACUCUUUAACAAAGAACAUGUCAAAGAAAUCCUUCAAGAGGCUGAUAUGCAGAAAUCUUCUGGGAAUGCAGAGUUUACUUUGUCUUGCAUGAAUAUACUUGUGGUAGAACUUUUAUCCCACACCCAGUAUAUUGCUUAUCAUAUAGAAUUAUAGAUCAUAAAAUAUAUGGUGAUGUGAUCGUCAUUUGCAGUUGUGCUACACGUGAUUUUUUUCUGAGUUUUAUUAUUAAUAUAUUAAAGAAACACAUAUAUUCGUUACCAAAUUGUAAAUUUUUCGGAUCCAGACUAGGGUGCAGACCUCUGAACAAACAUGGUGAUGGCCACAAUGUAAAAUAUCGUAUUAACAGCGGUUAAAAAAAUAUAUCGCAUUAACAGCGGCUAAAAAAAUAAUCGAUGUCUAUGUUAUUUUUGACAUCAGUUAAUAUAAUAACUCAUGUCUAACUUCUUUGAAUUAAAAACAAAAAGGACGUGGCAACUCCUGUUUUGUACCCCUCUCAUAUGUUUCCCGUGUAUUUCCCCUUAGUCAAAUUUUCAUUCCCCCAAUUUUUUUAACCCCACCCAAAUUCAGACAAAAUAAACACCAUCUUAUUCAAUAUUUUUUUUUGUCACAAGAUACUUUCUCGUAUGAUAAAUUGUAUCAGAAUACAAUAGCCGCUCUUUCGUUCAAGAAAGUUUACCAUCUAACCCUCGGACAUGCAGAGAUGACCGGGGACACUUAGACAAUAAAGCUUUAAUGUUCGAUAAGAAAACACCCAUAAGAGGUCCCGCUAUCAUUCUUUUUCCAUUCGCGUAUCUUGAAAAAUACAAUACAAAUAAAAGAAACAUAGUAAGUUCAUACUGAAAAUAGAAUAAUAAAACUAUCCAAAACAAAAGAGAAAAAAAGUCAACAAACUCAUAAAAAAAUAUGAAUAUCAUAUAAUUCUUUAAAGAAUAAGGAAAGUAAAAAUAAAACUGAUGUGAAACAAAACAUUAAAAAAUCUACACCAAAGAGAUAGUGAGAUCUCUUUGGUUAGAUACAUAAUAAAAUAAUAAAUAAUAAAAUUUAACUCCCAGCGGAAAAAAUUGACUAUUAGAUCAAUAAAUAUUAAAAUAAAAUUAGGAAAAUAUAAUUGGAAGUUAAAAUAUGGCUAAGAUAUAUCUACUCAAAUACUCCCUCCGUCCCUUUUUACAUGUCCUUUUUGAAAAAAAAAUUUGUCCCAAAUUACUUGUCCACUUCUCUUUACAAAGUAACUUUUUGUAUGUUUUUUCAAAAUGUAACAAUUUCCAAUGUUUGACUAGCAUAUAUAUAUACACAACUCUAUCUAAUUCAUUACAUUUAUUAGAGAUAUAUAUGAAAACAAGAUAUCCACCUAACAUUUUCUUAAGAUGCGUUAUUUUUUCAAAAGGGACAAGUAAAAAGGGACGGAGGGAGUAUAAGACAAAAUCUUGACGAAUAAAUGUAUCACGAUUAUAGUUAAUUAUCAUUAUCAACACCAUAUAAAUUUGGUAUACACCAAUCAACAAAUCAACCCUUAAUGGCGCAAUAAUACCUCAUUAAGGCACAAUAAGCCAUCAUAAAUGGCACUCAUGAAUUAUGGAAUUCAGGUACAAAAUCAGCAAUAAGCAUUCUAUCAAUUAAUUUUCUAAUUAUACACAAAAUUUCAAAAUAAAGCAUGUAGAAAAACGUAAGUUUCAAAGAAAAGCAAAUUUAAAGGUAGUCAACUUGCCAUUCAAAAGGUAACUAAAAUUAAGGUCUACAAUUACUACUAUUAAAAACAAACAAUAUCCAAAAUUACAGAAUUAAAAACAAAAUCAUGCAAUAAAAUUAGUCAAACAGAAUAAUCUACGCGCACUAAUUAAGUCAUCGAGACACCACCUCCACCGCCACCGUUCAAGAACUGCAAACAAUCAUCAUGCACACUAGCGAAAAACUAAAAUCAAGAUAGGAUACGGGACACACAAUUAUAUCUAAUCAUGAAAAAAUAAAUUAUGAACCGCACCACAAGAAAAUAUACUGUAAGAAUAAUCACAUAAUCAUAGUCAUAUAAUUUUAUGUUUUAGAAAGAUCACACCUGUUAGUACGGAUCUUGCCUCAUCAGAUGGACCCAUAUGAAUGAUCAUCUCGCAUCUCCGAUCAACUUGAUGUAGCGUCAACACGGAUAACUGAAACCUAAUUGAUCCGAUUUUUCACCCUCCGGGCAUAUUUUUUGUCCACAUGCUCCGAUCGCCGAGAAAAUGGCGAAUUUAAAUCCUUCUUGGCUUGGAAAAACAAAAGGAAUGGAAAUUUAAACAAAUUAAAACACUCCUUCAUUUCACUCUCCCCGUGUUUCUCUCGUUUCUCCGAGUCGAAGUUGCUCCAACCCUAGCUAAUCAAUCGAAGCUGUUCAACCCUAAUCAAUUUAAGUGCAGAAGCUCUCAAGCCUAAUCUCAAAGUCGAAGCCCCAAGCUGCUCUCUUCAGUUCUCAAAGUCGAAGCCCUAAUUUUUUUAACCUCUUGCAGGUUAUUCAAAAAACCCUAGUUUCCUCUUCAGGUAAUUCUUUUGUUCGUGUUCUUACUCUUCACUUUUGUUGCUCUCUUGCUCUGGUUCUCUUGUUAUUUUGUUGAUUUCGUUUUGUGUUUUUGCAAUUAGUUUCUUGUUUUGGUUUGAUUUGUUUAUAUAUACACCUAGUUUGUUUGGGUUCGAACAUGGUUUUGUUUUUUUGGUUUGUAUUAUGAUUUUGUUAUUUCUGUUUUGGAUGAAGAGAAGUACUCUAAGGAUGAUUUUGUCGGUAUAGUUAACAUUCCUGUUUCUUGGGUUUUGUAAAGUUUGUAAGCAUGAGUGCAAUUAGUUUGUACAUGACUAUGAGUGCAAUUAGUUCUUUUUGUGUUUUCGGUGUAAUUUUGUUGGAUACAUAAGUUAAUGGGGAAAUUUUGUUGUAUAAGAAGCUUUGUUAAAGUGGGAGAGGAAUUAUUUAAUCGUUAAGAAUAAGAUAAUGAAUUAGUUAAUAUAAAAAAUAUUUUAUCAAAAAUAUUGUGUUAAUCAAUUCCUCAAUUAAUCUUAUUUAGGAAUUCAUAAGAACGCUAUAUUUUCUUAAUUUUUUUUUAUAGUUUCGUUAUUUUUUUAAAAAUAUUUGUGAAAAAAUUGUCCGCAACUAUAAGAAACUCGUGCAAUUUUUAUGAUACGAUUUGCAACAAGUGCAACCAAAGCAAUUUUUCGAACAAAUGAGAGUUUAUUCGAUUGUAUUCGCUGAAUUUGUUGCAUACAGUUGCAAACCGAAAAAAUCGCAAAAAAUUACAAAAUUAGUAUUCUUACAAAUAUAUUAAAAAAUUAAAUAUUUGAGAAAAAAAAUAAAAAAGGAGCAUUUUAUUAUAAAAAUGACCAUUAUAUUUUAUCAUGAUUAUAAACAUAUAUAAUACAUAGAAGAUUAUAUGAUUUUGGUAUGUCAAAUCUUUGGUUUUAUGAUACAAUUCUUUUUAAAAAAAUUCUUUGUAAAAGGAGAGCACAAUUACUUUACUCAUUACCUAAUAUAAUUUGAUUUUAGAAACCUUAAUUGAAUUUGUUUUUACAAACAAGUCGGUGCAUAAAAAAUCAAUUAAUUUAUUUAUUGUUUAAUUAAAUUUACCUCAUUACUGCUUCACUACAAAAAUUACAUAUUCUAACAAUAUAAAAAUAAAUAAAAAAUAUGCUCAUGUGAAAGUAACAAUAUUAGUUCCGUUUUUCUUACUGUCAUUUUCUAGACAAAUAUCCACUAAAUCAAAGAUAUAUAAAUCCAUCGACUAACUUAGCUAUUUCAAUAUAAAUUCUUUUAGAGAAUAUAUGUUAUUCCAAUAAAUGGACAUACACUAUAACUCUCUAGCAUCUCAACGUAACGUACAUGUCUAAUAAUUAUAACACGACGCAGGUUUUUGUUUAUAUCCAACAAUAUUACUAGUCAAGGACGUAUUUGUAUAACAUGAUUGUAUAGAUGCAAGGACACCACAAAAGGUGCAUCUCCAAUAUGCCAGAUCCGUCUCCAUCUUUCGUGUCCUUGUAGUGGACUUUCCAACGUUUUUCGGAGAUUUCCAUGAUCUUGCACUUACACCAAUAGUCAGGUGCAUAGUCAGAGUUCCCCUAAAUCUAAUAAAAUCAUUAAAUUAAAAAAUAUUUUGACAUGACAAGAAUACUAUAUAUAAUAAAGAAAAAUGCAUCCAAAUUUGCCGAAAUAGCGUACCAGUAAGAAAAGAUGGUAAUUGUCACUGUUAAAGAGGGCCUCUGUCGUAAAAGCAAAAUCUUGCCACCAGUCAUUAUUCCGCCAUGCAUCAAUGGCUGCUCCAACCUCAUAAGUAGUAGGAGGAUCUUCUGACAUGAACGGAUGGUAAGCUGGUCACAGUGUCUCAUGCUCAGCUUAUCAGGACGUGCAAGUCUUGGUGGUGGAACAUGUUGCUACACAUCAUAUAGUGUUAAAAAAAAUUAUUCAUUCAACAAUACAUUAUAUGUAAUUUCCAAACCAAUUUAUUGCUGAGAUAAAUGUUAAAACUGACAUUGUUUGCACAACAAAGAAAUACAUGAAAAUCACAUAUAUGCCUAGGGCCGGGUUGAGCGUCAAUGAGUGCAGAUUUUUACCUAUGAUGCAUAAAGGACAAUGUUCAACGUAAACAAUAUACUUAACUUGUGACUGGAGUUGAAAAAGUUGUGACCAUCCAAGAAACCAAAGUGCACAAUUCAAUAUAGAACAACUUGAUCAUUUAAAACGGUUGUUUUCCGUACCUUCAAUAUGUCACAUCGGUCUCCAUCCUUCAUGUCCUUGCACUGGACUUUCCAACAUCUUUUGGAGAUUUUCAUGAUCUCGCACUCACACCGGUAGUCAAGCAUGUCUGGUCAGAUACAAAGACCACAUAUAAUAGUUCCAGUAAGCGGCCCCAAUAAUGUAUAUAAUUUUGGUAGUUUUAAAAACUACAUAUUGAUUGCAUAAAUUUACCAACAAAUAAAUAAUUGUUAGAAGCAAACAAAAGUGACAUAAAAUUUUAAUAAUUUAAGAUUAGUCGACAUUGAGUUACCGCCUAUAAAUAUCUCUAAUUCAGACUUAUUUGAAUACUAUAGUAUAAUAUAGAAAGCUAUAAAGUUUAAAAUGUGUUAUUAUAAUAUUUAUGUUUUAAAAGAUUUAAUCAUGUAAAAAUAAAUUUGCUAUAAUAUUAAUUAUAUUUUAAUAUAGUUUUAAUUUAUAAAAUACUAUUUUUUUUAAAAACAAACAACUCAUAAAAAUUUAAUUUCAAAAAUUUUGAAAUAAAAAUAAAAAUUAUGCUACCAAAAUUUCUAGAUCAAUUACUUAAAAAAUUAUCACCGACUAGAUUACUAUAUAUAUGAUAAAUAAACUAUAAAAAGAAGUAUGUAAAUAUUCAACCUUCACUUACCCUGGUAAACUAUAUGAGAUAAUGUUGAAACUGGAGCAUCUUCUUCAUUAUUUUACAAAUAGAUCCAAAAAUAAUGCAAGUAUUGCAAAGUUCUAUACUUCUGUGUGAAAAAUCUGCCAAAUGAGAUGUUAAUCAGCAACCCAAUAAUAAGAUCUAAAAAUAAAUCUACCGAAAAAACAUAAGAAAUGAAUCAAAAAAUAUCGAUAUCGAUUUGAAAUCAAAUAUUUUAACAUAAUUAUAGAUGAUAUAUCUUAACAUACAUCACAAAUCUGUAACAUAUUUAUUGAAAUAUUUUGAUAAGAUUGUGAACGCCUUUUCAUUAAUUGAUAUAAAAUACUAUAUCGGACCAACAAGUAUAAAAUACUUACAUGAAUGACAAACCAUCUCACGAGGGUGAUCUUAUAAUAAUAUUCUUUCAUUCACAAUUGAAGUAGAGUCUCAAAGUCGACACCUGAAUUCACAAAUGAUAGAAUGAAUAACAAGUAACAUAUCUUGAAUACAUAUGUAUGUAUGUGUGUGUGUGUAUUGUGUUAUCACAUACAAGAGAAACUUAUCACAUACAAGAGAAACUGUGCGGCGGAUGUAAUGUUUACGAGAGAUUAUAUAUACGCACAUAAGGUUUUGGACUAUAAAAGGUCUUACCCGGUGGCCCAAAACAAAAACUUAUAAGGAAUACAUGAAGUUGGGACUAAAUCUAAACUGUUUUGUGAAUCAUACUCAACUUGUAAGCAUCUAACGAUUUUAAUAUUAUAAUUUUUUAGAAGAUAUUUUAUUCAUAAAAUUUUAAAGAUGUGGAGUAUUAUGUAUUUUGUAUAAGAAAAAAAUAUUUUUAUUAUCAUAAAUUAUAAUCGGUAGGAUCAAACGAUAACAUUCAAAAUCUUUCAUCAAUGAAUAUUAAGAUUAGACAAAAAUAUUCGUUUUAAUUAUAAUAAUACAAACAUUGGAGGAUGAAAGGUUGAUUUUAUUUGAGAGGCAAUAAUGACUACUUGUUUUUCAAAUUAUUGAGUAAAUGAUAUUAUUAUUAAUUCCUAAAUUAUCAAAAAUUAGAGGCGAAGCAUAAAUUUGAAAAGCAAAUUUCCGAAUUAUCAGUCUGAUAUUCGUUUAAAAAAAUUCGAAAAUUCAGAUAUUUUAUUAGAAAAGUUGGACCAGAAUCUGAUCAACUGAGUAUUUUAUCCAGGUGCAAAAUGCUCGCUUGUGUAAUUAGUGAUGUCAACUGUAAUUGUCUCGUGUAUUUAUGAACAUUUUUACUGCAAAACCACUUCGAGUACCUUCAUAAUUGUAUAUAGUAUAUAUCAUGGUUCAGCUGGUUAAAGAGGGGACAUGUAUCCUCUUGGUCACAGGUUCGACUACCGAAGAGAGCAGAAUUUGUGGUUAUGCCUCCUGGAUCAGAGCCUGUCGUGCUUAGGUGCGGUUUACCUUAGUUCACGUAUGCGGGUUCUUACGUUAAAAAAAAAAUUAAUUUGAGAAUUUAUAAAGCAACAUAGUUAGGGUGAUCACAUAAAUAUAUAUUUAUAGUUAUAUAUAUUUUUAACUACAUAGUUAUGUUAUUUUAGAAAUCCCAAAUUAUUUUGAUAAUAAGUAGGGACAAUUGUGAAGGUACUCGAAGUGAUUUUGCAGUAAAAAGUUAAACGGUUAAUUUUUGAUAUAUGAUUAAGUAUAGAGGUAUGAACAGUGAGGUGGGUAAAAUAAUACAAGUAUAUAUUUGAUUUGUAGUGGUUUAAAUGAGUCGCCGAUAAGAUGUGUCGGGUCAAGUAAGAUAUUUUGACGUAAGAUAGUUUGAUAUAAAACCCGAAUUUUAUCAGGUGCAAAAUGCUCGCUUGUGUAUUUAGUGAUGUAAACUGUAAUUGUCUCGUGUAUUUAUGAACAUUUUUAAUCUUAACUGCAGUUCGCUGGAUCUUAUAUUGGAAAGAAUAUGUUUCGAGGGUAGCCGAAGGCAGGCCAAAUAUGCUGUACACGCACUAGCGGCAGUAACAAAAGAGGAGGGGAUUAUGUCGCUCAUCUUUGAAACAAGAGAAAGUGAAAUUGAAACUUUUAUACAGAGAUUUUUAACUCUGUGUUUUCUUCCGAGGGUUAGUGUGUUGAUUGGGUGCUGCAGCUUAUAUUUGAUGAAUUGUCUGACCCAGGGAUUCAUUAGCUGGUAACAUCUCUUAUUCAUCCGAAGUUUGCAAAUUUACAUAAUGAGUUAUCUUAGGAAUUUGUGCCCUAGUUGAAGAAGUUAUGGUUUGAGUUGUGAAAAUUAUAUGAGCUUUGUGAUAACAGAUAAGGUGUUUGACAGAAUUCCUAAAAGAAAUAAUGUUUUAUUGAGUUGUUUAUUUGUUCUGACCGAUUUUGUAGUUGUUCUUAAAAUACAUAUGGCUAGUGUCUGCUAAUUGUUUGAUUUAAUGUCACAUCAUUAUAUAUAUAGCCAUGUAAUAGAGGCCAAUUUAGGUUAGCAAAGGAUUAGUUCUUUGUCAUUGCUCUGUCUAUUCCUACGAUUAUGCUAGAACCCGUCUUGCAAAUGAUGUAAAGACUGCAAAGAAGGAUGGAGAGAGGCAGUUCAAUGGAUUGGUUGAUGCUCCUUAAGUGAGCUUGUUCCCUUUGUGGGUUGUGCUUUUUCAUGGGUUGUAAGGUUCCUCAUUAUAAACUAGUAUCUUCUUUCCAUUUUCCAGUCCAGUUGAUAAGGCCCAUAUGAAGCUUGCUGGAGCAAAGUCUAUUCUUCGAUUAUCUAGAUAUUGGGAUCAAAAAGAUUCCCGUUGAUCUCUUCUACUCUACCCUAAGAAUUUUCGAGGUUAAGUCUUUAGCAUUUGAACUUAAAUAUAAAUAUAUAAAAUGAUAAUAUAUAUUUUUAAUAUAUAUACACCAGCAACUAGCCGUUGGAAUAGAUGAAGUGCCACGUCCUCUGCCAGCUCAGAUUUCCGUCCAAUCAUUUUAUUGCUAAUUAAUGGAGUGAUAUUUUUUCUUAAAUAAAUGUUUUAAAUGAUAUACUUUUUUUUUUGUGUGGUCUAAUUGAGAUUUCGGAGUGAAUUGGGUGGUUUAAUUGAUAUAAAACCCAUAUAUAAAAUGAUAAUAUAUAUUGUACUUUUUUAAUAUUCACUUGUGUUCUCCUUGCACGUUGUUGCAUACCUUAUUAUUGAAAUAUUACAAAUAGAUUAUGUUUUGAUCCUUUUGCUUGACACAUGUAGGUUGAUUUUCCUCAAGUUGAAAAACAAUUUCUGAGAAAUGUUCACCCAUACAUUAGGGAUCGCCUUUUGGACCCCAAAUAUGCUUGUGCAUUCUUAUCUAAUGAAAUCUAACAAUCUUUCUGCAACCAGAAUCAAUGUGUAUUUUGUAUCACUAACUGCUAGUCUUGCUUAGUGAUGAUUAUAUACAAUGACUGAAUAUAAAGUUUGUCAUGCCAGCUGGAGAGUAAUGGAAUGCCAGCUGGAGAGAGUGGUGGAAUAUGGCAUGGAUCACAUGUAUUGCAGCAUACUAAAGCUUAACCUGGAUAUUUUAUGGUAAACAAUAUUUACCCAAUACUACAAUAAUUCACAAUAAAAAUAUAAUCUAUAAAAAUAUAAAGAAUAGAUUUAUUAUAUAAUUUGUAAUGUGAAAAGGUUUUGAGUAAUUAGGUUGACAAAAUGAAAAUAGAAGAGACGAGACGAAGAAGAAAAAGAAGUUGUUGGGUCUCAGCCCGCAAGAGUGAGGAAGACUAGCGUAGCCCAGUAAGCAAGCACGGGCAGGUCACGUGGUAUAAUUAUAGCGGAGAAGCUACGGCUAAAAGGGUUUGAAAUUCAGAGCGGAGAAAAGGGGGAGGGUUUCUACUAUUAGACUAUCAAAUAACGAUGGCAUUCACAAGGGAGUAAUUGAGCGCGUAUAUAAGAACAGGAGGGCAAAGAUGAGUCCUGACAUCAAAUAUUUACUGUGAAGAGUUGAUAACCUUGACUGAUAGCACUUGUCCCGGUUUUUCUCCAUCUCCUAUAGCAAGCAUAACAUUUGGAAGAAAUUCCUUAAUUGUUGCUCAUAUAGAAGUCAACAAGUUUUUGAGGGUAAUCAUUAUCCAUUUCCUGAGAAAGCGGAAAGAAUAAUGAUUACCUUCAAAACUUAUUGAUUCUAUAUGGGCAGCAGUUAUGAAAUUUCUUCGAGAUUUUAUGCCUGCUGCAGCAGAUGGAGAACAACAACCGGGACAAGUAUUAUCAGUCAACGUUAUUAACUCUUCUUCUACCCAACUCGAGUCAUUUGAACUUGGUACUGUUGUUUCGCCACUGUUUGAUCAUGGCACUGAACAAGGCGAGCAAGUUCUGGAGAUACAAAAGUGCGCCACAAAUACUCAUUCAUAUGAAGAAAUUUCCACAACUGCAGCGUCUAAAAGGACACCCGAAGGUGUCGAGCAGAUAAUUUCUUGUAUGUCCUUGAACCUAUUUGUUCUUAUGGACAUUUUCAACUAUAUUUUGUUCUUUACUUUGGUGAUUAUUCAUUGAUCUGUUUAUUUGGUUCCUUGACAGUGGAUGAAAUCGCCUAUUAAUUGUAAUGAACCUCAGUCUCUCACAUCCAAGCAGCUGAGGAGAUCUGAAGUAAUAGUUGGAGAUGAGGGGUAUACCGUCCUUUCUGAGAAAGGUAAAUUACCAUUCUUUUAGGGAAUGAAUAUGAUAACAGUUCUCUUAACAUUCAAUAUCCUCAAAAUUUAUAAGUACAUGAAUGUCGUAUAACUAUUUGUAUUGGUGGCCUAUGAAAUUUUAAGUGUAUAUACAUAAAAAUUAUAUAUCAUGAUUAUCUUAGCUACUUUACCCCCGCAUGUUCAAAUCUUUAGCUAUCCCUGUGCAUAGUUAGUUUAGUAUAUUAAUAUUCAGUAAUUUAGUAUGCUGCGAGGUAUGAAGACGUGGGACAUGCUAUGAUUACUGCAUCUCAGCCUUCCAGUUUGCAAACCAUGAAAUCAUUACCCCAACAAGUCAAUAUGAAAAAAAUGGUAUUAGAAAAUGAAGGAGAUAUAUCGUCUCAACUUCCCAGCAAUUUGCAACGGUGUGAGGAUGGCACUGAACAAGAGGAACAAGUUUUGGAGAUGCAAAAGAGUACCCCAAUCAUUAACUCACAUAAAGGUAUUGCCAAAGGCGAAACGUCAAGUUAUACACCCGACAAUAUCCUGAGGACAUUCAUUGUUGGUCUUUCUACCUAUAUGUUUUGUGCAAGGAAUGAGGACCCUCGGCAUAUUAAGUUUAAAUAUACACGUAGAAAGAAACAUAAUCAGGAGUAAGCAGGGGUAAAUAAGGGGAAAUAUAGGGAAGAGAGGGUAAAGAAGUCUUUUGAUGUUUGGGAGUAUAAAAUAGAAUGAAGAAAAGGGUUAGGGUUAUCUAUCUGGAAAAUGUGUUAAGUCAGUAGUAGUAUCAGGAGAGACCGCGCCUCUCGAAUUGCUGCGGGGUUGUAUAAGAUCUACUGUUUAGUAAUCGUUUAUUUCCCUGCUAUUAUAUAUAUCACAUCUGUUCUGGUCGUUUACUUGUCAACUAUAGUAGUCUAUUGUAGCAAAUUGGUAUCAGAGCGAGGUUGACGAUUAUGGGUGCUCCUCCUAGUAAUCAGUACAGGAUUGAAGUGCUCGAACAAGGGUUGGGGGACCUCCGCGCCACAAUGGCCGAACAGAUCGCUAUAGCGGUUCGAACGGCAACCCAGGAGAUGCAGCAGAGUUUGGUUUCUCUGCUUACGACCUCUCUCGAUCAAUCAACUCAACGAUUGGAAGAGAGGGUGGUGCGUUCCCGUGAAAAGCAAGAGGGUUUUAUGUUACGGAUGAAAGAGGAGCAAGAAAGGUUUCAGGAAGAGAUUCGAUCCACGUUGACAUCGUUAAAGGGAACAGGGGUUGUCCUCGGUGAAGGGGCAAACUCCACUCCUGAAUUUGGGUCUGGCCAGGGGCAGCCAUAUGGGGUUGAUGAUGAUGGUGGCGGUCCUCGUUCGGUGGUUUUCGGAUCUGGACCGGGUCGCGGGUCUGGUCGGGGACACAAUGGACCGGGUCGAGGCAGUUCGGAUUUUGGGGGUCAUGCUCAAUAUGGGUAUUCUGGUGGGUCUCAUUGGAGGGCAAAGAAAUUGGACUUGCCGAAUUUUACAGGUGAAAACCCAGAUGGGUGGAUUAUGCGAGCUGAACGUUUUUUCACGUUUUAUCGGUUAACGGAGGAAGAAAAAUUAGAGGCAGCAAUUGUGGCACAGGAUGGUGAUGCUUUAUUGUGGUUCCAAUGGGAAAAUGGUCGUCGUCCUAUUCGUUGUUGGGGAGAGCUCAAACGCCUCUUACUUCAUCAGUUCCGACCGUCUUCAACCGGGAGUUUGCAUGAACAAUGGCUGAGUCAUACACAGAAGGGGACUGUUGUUGAGUAUCGUCGGGGUUUUAUAGAACUGAUGGCUCCGUUGAUUGGGGUUCCGGAGGAGAUAGCGAAGGGGCAGUACAUCAACGGGUUGCAGGAUGAUAUUAAAGCGGAAUUACGCCUUCUGGGUCCUAGUAGUUUAGAUCAUGCAAUGGAGUUGUCAGUGAAAAUAGAAGAGAAAAAUCGAUGCUCUCUGGAGGUGCGCAAUAAGGGCAAAGGAAUGCAGUUUUCUACUGGCCGAGGUACAGGUACAUGUAGUCCCUUAUCUUAUUCUUCAAGUGGUCAUAGUCAGUACACUGCACCCUCAUUUGCGGGAGAUCACAAGUCAGUGGGGGGAUCGUAUAUAGGGACUAAAUCAACAAUUUCAGGGUCUACAUUGAGUUCAAAAGGGUCUAGUGUACCAGUGGCUAAACCUGUAGGUGAAGUGCGUAAGUUGAGCGAUAAGGAAUGGCAGAGCAGACGUGAAAAGGGCCUAUGUUUUAGGUGUGAUGACAAGUGGCAUGUCGGCCAUCGGUGUAACAAGAAAGAAUUAAGUGUGUUGUUGUCCCACAGUGAGGAGGAUGAUGAUUUCAGCCCGGAAUUAAGUCCUGUAGGGGAAGGCGAGCAGGAUCUCGGGAACUUGCAGUUUCAGCCAGAAGUGUCCCUGAAUUCUGUCAUGGGUUUAACUACACCCAAAACCAUUAAGAUGAUGGGUUAUAUUAGGGGAGCACAGGUCAUAGUAAUGAUCGACCCGGGUGCAACCCAUAAUUUCGUAUCGUUAGAUACUGUACAAAAGCUUCGCUUGCCGAUGACAAAGACAAAGGGGUUUGGCGUGUCACUGGGUACAGGAGAAUCGGUAAAUGGAAGCGGCAUUUGUCAGCAGGUGGCUGUAUGGAUACAGGGAAUUCAGGUGGUCGAGGAUUUCUUACCAUUGCAAUUAGGGAAUUCUGAUUUAAUAUUGGGUAUUGAAUGGUUAGAAAAGUUAGGCACCAUGAGUGCUAACUGGAAAACACAAACACUGUGUUUCCAGGUUCAGGGGAAGCCAGUAACUAUCACAGGUGAUCCAAGCCUCGGGAAAUCGCUCAUCUCUUUGAAAGCCAUGAUAAGGGCGUUACGUAAAGGCGACACAGGGUACUUGGUUGAAUUAAACUGUUUGGACAGUGAACAAGAACAGAUUGAGCAGUGUAGUACAACAAAACAAGUUCCCAAAUGGGUUGAGAGCAUCCUCCAGCAGUUUCAAGAGGUGUUUAAUAUGCCACAGGGCCUUCCUCCUCAUCGGACAUAUGCUCACGCCAUUGCUUUGCAGCCAGGGACAACCCCUGUAUCAGUUCGACCUUAUCGUUAUCCGCAAGUUCAAAAAACGGAGAUAGAAAACAUGAUCAGGGAUAUGUUGAAAGCCCAAAUAAUACAAGUGUCCAGAAGCCCUUUCUCCAGCCCCGUUAUCCUCGUGAAAAAGAAAGAUUCUUCGUGGCGAUUUUGUGUAGAUUACAGAGCCCUUAACAAAGUGACUAUACCGGAUAAAUAUCCUAUACCCGUGAUAGACGAGCUGCUGGAUGAAUUGCACGGGGCAAGCAUUUUUUCGAAAUUAGACCUGAAAUCAGGCUACCAUCAAAUUCGCAUGAAAGAAGAAGACAUUCACAAGACAGCCUUCCGGACUCACGAAGGCCAUUAUGAGUUUUGUGUGCUUCCGUUUGGACUCAUGAAUGGGCCUGCAACUUUCCAAGCUCUCAUGAAUGAAGUGUUUAAGCCCUAUCUACGCAAGUUCGUCCUCGUGUUCUUUGACGACAUUCUUGUUUAUAGCCCUGACAUGGAGACGCAUAAAGAACAGCAGACAGUGGUGUUACAAACAUUGAAGCAACACCAACUGUAUGCCAACUUAAAGAAAUGUGAGUUUGGACAAGCGAAGAUUGCAUACUUGGGUCACGUGAUUUCAUCACAGGGAGUGGCUGUAGAUGAGGAGAAAAUCAAGGCCAUGACUGAUUGGCCACUUCCGAAAAAUGUCAAGGAAUUACGUGGAUUUCUGGGUUUAACCGGUUAUUACCGAAAAUUUAUUCAAGGAUAUGCGAAGACAGCAUUACCCCUGACAGAUCAGUUAAGGAAGGAGAAGUUUGGGUGGUCACCGGACGCUACUGCCGCGUUUAACAAACUCAAACAACUGUUGUCGUCUACACCUGUUUUGGCACUACCUAAUUUUGAGCUUCCCUUUGUGAUCGAGACAGACGCGUCUGGGUACGGUUUAGGAGCAGUUCUUUCUCAGCAAGGUCAUCCAAUAGCAUUUUACAGCAGUGUUUUGGGUGCCCGAGCUCGGUUAAAAUCAAUUUAUGAGAAAGAGCUAAUGGCAAUGGUUUUAGCGGUGUUAAAGUGGAGACAUUAUGUGCUGGGAAGAAAAUUUACAAUAAAAACAGAUCAGCAAAGUCUCAAAUUUUUGCUGGAACGAGAGGUGGGUUCGGAAUACCAGAAAUGGGUGAGUAAACUCAUGGGGUUCACUUUUGACAUCGUGUAUCAGCCUGGGCCGAAGAACACUGUUGCUGAUGCUUUGUCCAGAAAAACCCCUACACAGAUAGAACUCGCGGUGUUGGUGACCAGUCAUGGGGCAGAAUGGGGUUCCAUCCAUCAACAGGUCUCAACUGACCCAUACAUUGUUAAAUUGAAGGCUGAAAUUGAGAAAGGUGGCUCCACUGCCCAGGGAUUUGCUAUUGAGCAUGGGAAAGUAACUUAUAAAGGGCGUUUUGUGAUUCCAAAGCACUGCCCUUUGAUCACUACCAUUCUGCAGGAGUAUCACAACUCGGUUGUCGGUGGGCAUGCUGGUGAAAUGAAAACAUAUCAACGCAUAGCUAAAGAGUGGUUCUGGCUCGGAAUGCGCAGGGAUAUAGCCACCUAUGUGCAACAUUGUGUUGUUUGUCAGCAAUGUAAAACAUCGAAUCUCAAACCAGCAGGCCUCCUUCAACCAUUACCUGUUCCUACGAAAGUAUGGGACGAGAUUUCACUGGAUUUCGUUGAAGGGUUGCCACGUUCCGGGGGUUACGAUACUGUUCUGGUAGUAGUGGAUCGCUUCACUAAGUAUGCUCACUUUUUGGGAAUUAAGCACCUUUUCACUGCUCCGUCUAUAGCAGCUGUUUUUGUAAAGGAAAUUGUCCGGUUGCAUGGAUUCCCAUCAGUUAUAGUUUCAGAUCGGGAUCGGGUUUUUAUGAGUGUUUUUUGGAAAGAGAUAUUCCGCUUACAAGGGACAAAAUUGCACCGCAGUACAGCCUACCACCCCCAGUCUGAUGGACAGACAGAAGUGGUAAACAAAGUACUUGAAACGUAUUUGAGAUGUUUUGUCAACGGACAACCCCGUAGGUGGGCAAAUUGGCUGGCUUGGGCUGAAUAUAGUUAUAAUACAGCAGUACAUUCUUCUACAGGGUAUUCCCCGUUUCAGGCACUGUAUGGGAGAGAGCCACUACCAUUGAUUAAGGGAAGCGCAAGUAGCACGAGUGUAAAUAGCAUUGAAGAACAAUUGGUUGACCGUGAUGCUAUGCUAGAUGAACUCAGGUUUAAUAUGCUGCGUGCCCAGCAACGUAUGAAAGUUCAGGAAGACAAACACCGCCGUGAGGUUGAGUUCGCAGUAGGAGAUCAUGUAUACUUGAAGUUGCAACCAUAUCGCCAGCAGUCUUUGGCAAAGCGUGCGUGGGAAAAAUUAUCUGCUCGUUAUUAUGGGCCGUUUGAGGUGCUUCAGAGAGUUGGUAGUGUGGCUUAUCGUUUGCAGCUACCAGAUGCAUCCAAGAUCCAUCCUGUAUUCCAUGUGUCUCAACUGAAACGUGCUAUUGGGGAGGCCCCGGUGGUUCCUACGAUUCCCAGUAGCAUUAAUGCUGAUUUAGUGUGUAUGGCAGAACCUGAGGCUGUUUUGGGUGUACGUAACAGGGGGUCGACAAAUGUGGAGGUUUUAGUAAAGUGGCAAGGGAUGGAGAGUUUUGAAGCUACUUGGGAGGACUUCACUGCUUUGACACAGCGGUUUCCUACAUUACACCUUGAGGACAAGGUGGCUCUUUGGGAGGAGGGUAUUGCAAGGAAUGAGGACCCUCGGCAUAUUAAGUUUAAAUAUACACGUAGAAAGAAACAUAAUCAUGAGUAAGCAGGGGUAAAUAAGGGGAAAUAUAGGGAAGAGAGGGUAAAGAAGUCUUUUGAUGUUUGGGAGUAUAAAAUAGAAUGAAGAAAAGGGUUAGGGUUAUCUAUCUGGAAAUUGUGUUAAGUCAGUAGUAGUAUCAGGAGAGACCGCGCCUCUCGAAUUGCUGCGGGGUUGUAUAAGAUCUACUGUUUAGUAAUCGUUUAUUUCCCUGCUAUUAUAUAUAUCACAUCUGUUCUGGUCGUUUACUUGUCAACUAUAGUAGUCUAUUGUAGCAUUUUGCUCGAUAUUUCAUAUCAUGCCUGUGUUCCUUUAAUGGUCAAAUAUCUGCUUGGUUGCUUUGCAGUGGAUAAGUUGCAAUAAGCGCCACCUACCAUUAGCAAAGAGAGUCUUAGCCUUACAUUUACAAGAAGCGCUAACAUUUACAAGAUUUUUCCUUAGUGCUCUAAGUUGAUCUUCUUCUCUAAUGUUCUUGUCCUUAGUGUUCUAAGUUGAUCUUCUUCUCUAAUGUUCUAAUGUUCUUGAUUCUUGAAAACGAAAAUAUAAUGCUUGUUUAUAUAUUCAAGCUUAUAGCAAUUUUUUACUCAAGAAAUAUGGAACUAUUAUUUUUAUCAUCUUCCCGCCCAUUACCCUCGCCGACAAACUCUCCGACCUCUCCCUAUUCUCACACUCAGCCGCCAAGUCCCACCUAGGCUCCUCAUCUGGUUGCGUCUUUUCGUUCUUUUGUUUGUGAUUUGCAUUGAGUCACCUUCGAGUCAUGCCGAGUAGCUGAGCUACGUUUGAUUCUGCUGGAGUUUGCUUUGAUUUCUUGAGAUUUGUUUGUUGUGUUUUGCUGUGACACCGAGAGUGGCUAAUUUCUUGUGUGUUUUGUCCGAGUCCAAGUUGCAGGUUCAAGUCUUGUUCUUCUUUUUAAUUGAGUUGUAGUAGAAGAGUUUGUUUGAAGAAUAAGUGGCUGGGAUAGUUAAUUUUAGUAGUUUGUUUCGAAGUUGCAUAACUGAGUCGCGAGUCUGAGUAUUGCUAGCCUAGAUUUCUGUUCGUAGUUAAGGAAUAAUUUUGAGUUGAUUUUGAGUUGAUUUUUAGGUGGUUGUAUUAGUUGUUUUUUAGGUUGUAAUGUUUGGCCCCGUGGGAGUUAUUUUUUGGUCUUGUAAACGGUUGCAACCUAUUAUGCAAACGAAUAUAAUUUUCAAUUUUUUUUUUAAAAUAGCAUUUCUGGUUGUAUGUGGUUGCUGGCAGUUGCAGAUGUGGUUGCAUAUGCAACCACCGUAUCUUUGGAAAUAUUAUCAGGAAUAUAGUAUUUUUGCAAUUUGUUUUAAAAAGUGAUAGUAUUUUCGCAAAAAUUCUUUCAAACUUGAUUAUAUAAAAAAAGCUCUUGAAAAUCCAUAUCCAUAUAUCCUUAAUGGGUGCUAGUGAAGCCCCCAAAAAUACUCCUAAAUUUACCCAUUUUUUUUGCCUGCUCCACCGACCCGAAACCCGUUAACCCAUCUGCCCAUGUCAGUUUGUUCCUUAAUGUCUGCAUCUUAAUUCAAAUUUCGAAUCAUGGAGAUUAACCUUAAUGCAUCGUACUGUCAAAACCAUCUUCAAGCGUUUGGAUCAUUUCUGUGAUCUUCUACCGUCACAUACACAUCUUCUUCUUCAGCCAGUCAUGGAAACUGACGGCAAUGAUGCCGCAUCACCGGGUUUAGGUAUUUGUUGAUUGUUGUAUGCAUCCCUUAUACACAGUUUGUUAAAAAUUCUUCAAUCUCAAUUUCCAGAUUAUCCAAGAUCAGUCGUUGUCGUGCUUGCCAAGACAGGCUACACUAGAUGAGCGGCUGUGUUCGUUUUUGCGUAGCCAUCAAUGGAAAAACGACCUCUCCACCACGUAAUCCUCCCCCGUCGACAAGUAGGUAAAACUAUACCCAUAUAUACGCUUCAUCUUGCCUGCGUUGUAUGAUUCUAUAUAUGUCAAUUGUGUAUAAAAUCAAAGAAUCAACUUUUUAUUGUAUUAUUUAUGACUUUGAUAUAUAACCCAUUAAGUGUUUGAUGUAUUGCCACAAAGACUUGAUUAUAGUUUUGUUUCUCCAUUUUUCUUAUCCAUAUUCUAAUAUUUGCUCUCUGCUCUCUCUAUACUCUGAAUAUAGGAAUCCCGUGUCAAUGAGGAGAAUAGGAAGCAGCCAUUUAACACACAAAACUCUUUCUAUUUAACACACAAAAUCGGGCUUCAAAAAUAAAAAUACAACAAAAGUAUGCAAAAUGGAGCCCUGAUUUUUAAUCCAUGUGUUUAUUUGUGUCUUAGCUACUUCAUGUGUUCUCCAUUGCUACUUCACAGGCUGUUUCAAAUUUGGUCGCAAUACUAUAGGUAUCUUAUGCCAUCAUAGAGAAGGCUACGUCGUGUUAAUCUGUAUGAUCUGGUGUGAAUAUAAUGUAUGAUAUAGGGUGUUAUUUGUGCAGACUAUAUAUGUGGUGUUUUCUCAAAGUCUAGGUCCAAGUCCUCAUGUAUCAGUUUAAGGGCUUAUAAAUAGGACAUCAGCACACACUGCUAAAAACCCACUGUUCUAAUUACCAGCUUCCAAAAAAUUCCUAUGGUAAGUUGAAAACGUUGCAGAAUUUUUUGAAGCUGCAGAGUGCAAGGGAACCAAUGUCACAUAUGUGUUGUUUGUGUCCUUUUAGGUCCGGGUGUUAACAAUUUCAUAAACAAUCUGCAGACCACUCCUGAUCAUCUCAGUGGCUUCGCACCAGGUAAUCCUUGCGCAUUUUAGAGCAUUUAGUUAUGUUAUUGAAUGUUUGCAGGCAUUUUAGAUUUGCAAAUAUGUGCAGGUCUGAUGUUCUUGAGGCACUUGCCUCAGUGGUGCCACCAUAAUCAUAUUUACACGGUGCUUCCGUCGAAAAAUUGAUAUAAUUAUUAAUGAACUUCAUGAAGUCUUAUUUCUUCAGCGACCCUAACGUGGUGCUAAUCUUACGUGGUUUGAGAAAGUUAGAGCAACACAAAAUAUCUAGCAUGCGGUAAGAAGAAUAUCUUGCUACAAAUAAUUUUGAUGACACAGCUUUAUGAAGCGCAGUCUUCAGUAUCUAGAGACACCUGCCAUCUUAUAACUAUUUGCAGUUUGAAUAAAAUUAGUAUUGUCAUGUGGUAAGCAAUGCUGUAACAUGUGUGUUAUAACGGCAGACCAUCUAUUUUUGCAGUCCGAGGUGUUAACAGGAAUUCAUUAAACUCAUGUCCUUGAUGGUGCCUCUAUUUCAAUAUGUCCAUAUCUAUGUCUAGCAAUAUAAUAUGGAGAUAAACUGGGAAUUAGUUGCCAUGUAUGGAAUCCUCUUAAUAACUCUAUGAAUUCAUGUACUUAUUUAUAAUCUUAUUUUCUAAAUAUUAUUAUCUGUACCUUCUCAAGCCAUUGACUACAUGUUUUUUACUUUUUUUAAAAGAUCUCUUUGAAAUUUAUUUCUUAUAAACACCUUAAUAUUUUACGCAGAAGGUUUGAUUUGCAUCUUUUGCUUCAGGUGUCGUUUUUCAGAACCUCAUACUGUUUCCUGGCUCCAUUCAGGAAGGCUGUAGUAGUUUAGUAGAAUGCGAAUUGUUGUGUUUGUUUUGCUUAGUGGUAGUAUCUUCUUUUGCAAUGUACUAGCUAUAUAAACAUGACUUGAACUUUCUGUGAACAUAUCCCAGCAUUCUGCAGCCAAUAUCUCUGCAAGUAAAGAUACACAACAAAAGCGCCGAGGUCGUGGACCGGGUGUUAACAAUGUGAUAAACAGUUUAAAUACUACAAAAGACCAUUCCAGUGGCUGCACACCAGGUAAAUUUUUGAUAUUUUGCAAGCAGAUGGUUAUGUGAUCUGAUACUUGAAUAAACAUUUAUAGCUUCUACAAUGUAAUGUAUGUAAUUAUAAAUAUGUGCAGCCUGUAUUCCUUAACGUCUUUCAAUGUGUUUUUAAUCUGAAUGAUGUUAAAUAGGACAAAAACUUGACGCUAACAUAUCACUGCAACUUCCACACGAUAAUCCUCACAAUAAAGGUUUACCUCAAAAGCGUCACAAUAAAGGUAUCUUUUCCUAGGAGUGCACAGUAUUCCAAACAGUGUUUCGCCCAUUUUAACUGGUGUGUUUAUUGCUUAUAUCUUUUGUAAUGAACAUCAUAUAUAUGUUCUAUUGUUCCAGAAUUUAUUUUGGUUUUUGGAGAUCUUAUCAAUGGUUGUAAUCAUUCAAGACAUAAUUAUUGGGUUCUUAUUCGGUUGUCACAAUUAUUUGGUUUUUGUUGUUCUUACCAAUGGUUCUAAUCGUUCAAGAUUGGGAUCGAUUAAUCCUGUCAACAGUAGACUUAAUUUUCAUCUUACCAAUGGAUACGAAGAAUAUAGUCUNNNNNNNNNNNNNNNNNNNNNNNNNNNNNNNNNNNNNNNNNNNNNNNNNNNNNNNNNNNNNNNNNNNNNNNNNNNNNNNNNNNNNNNNNNNNNNNNNNNNNNNNNNNNNNNNNNNNNNNNNNNNNNNNNNNNNNNNNNNNNNNNNNNNNNNNNNNNNNNNNNNNNNNNNNNNNNNNNNNNNNNNNNNNNNNNNNNNNNNNNNNNNNNNNNNNNNNNNNNNNNNNNNNNNNNNNNNNNNNNNNNNNNNNNNNNNNNNNNNNNNNNNNNNNNNNNNNNNNNNNNNNNNNNNNNNNNNNNNNNNNNNNNNNNNNNNNNNNNNNNNNNNNNNNNNNNNNNNNNNNNNNNNNNNNNNNNNNNNNNNNNNNNNNNCAAGCCAAUGUUAUGGAUGUUUCUGGAGAAGUUGGAUCUCAGUUCAGUCAGGCAACAAUAAGUUCACGUAUUGGUCAUCCAGGUCGUUCUCAUCAUUCAAAUUAAGGACAUGGGAGCUCUACAAACAGUCUCUUAAAGUUUGAACUUCCUGCAUAAAAAAUCACUCCUUCCAACCAUUAAAAUACAGGUUCCAAUCUAUUUUAGUUGAGUUCAGCAUACAUCACGUAUGGAUGACAUACAAUUUUUAUAGUUGCACAGUAUAUUUCAGUAGUGUACAAAAUAAUCACGUUUACCGACAUAUGGUUUUUGUAGUUAUUGAUAGUAGUGUACAUGCAUCGGAGAAGCAUGUAUACAGACAUCGACUACGUCCAACAAGUCCUACAGUUAUUGGUAGUACAGGCAUUGGAAUCAGGAUUCUAAUCCUUAUGGUCUUCAGUUUCAGGUUAUUCUAGGCCGGAAGUGAACUCCAGUUAGGUUGUUCUCUGCUUUUGCAAUGGAAAAUGGUAGUAUUAUCUUGAAUAUAUUAUCGGGUAUAUAUCAAUAUAUGUGUCUCUUGAAAUUUAGAACUACAUAUUGAUUUCAAUUUUGUGCGUAGAUCCUAAGCACAGAAUACACACUUGAGCAUGCACACAUAAACAAGUUAAGUCGAGAAGCAUGACAAUAUUUUGUUUGAUAUGACUACCAAAAAGAACUGAAUGAUUUUCCAAAAGUUAUAUAAGAACUUGCACAAGAGCUGUGGGACUUGCUAUGUGAUAAUCUUGACUUAAAAAAGCUUUCUAUAUCUAGCGCACGCAGAUUCAGGCAGGAUCGUCCGACAAUUCCAAGUUUACCAUGUUAGUGGCCUCUAGCUUCUCAAAAUGGCGAACGGAUCGAUGUUCUGCUUAUGCUCCACUUCGUUGUAUUAACUUAGGUGACCAACUCACCACCAUCUCCACUUUGCUACAAUUUUAUACGAUGCACGUAGGUACGUUCAAGAUCAAAAGGCUCGAAAUUGAUAUCAAGUCGAAGGAUGAGAUCUAUUGCAAUUCUCUCUAAUCAGUAUAGUGGCUUGAUGAUUCAUAUGUUGGGUAAGUUUUUUCAUUUUUUAAGUCAAUCUUCUUUUUUCAGAACGAUGUUUGUUUUGGCUGUUCUAGCAACAUGAUUUCAUGUUCCUAUAUAAAUGACGUACACACAACAAACUUUAUUGUGAAUGGAGUAACAAAUGUUUAAUACAUAAUUACAAUCAUUUUAUGGUUAGGAUUAUGAUGCCUUGCAUAUAUAUAAACUUUAUAUGGUCUAUUUAUUGUAAUUCUAAAGAUGUUUUAAGUUAUCUGAUAGCUACGCUGUAAGUGUAGCCAGGGAAUUACGUAGAAUAUGGUUAUGUACUGUUGCCAUAGUACUUAUUAACUGCCAGGAUAUAUGUCAAAUCUGAUAUAGUUAUUCUUCGGUUGUAAAUUUAAUCUUUUAUAUUAUUUUCUCAUCAUCUCAUCCCAAAAGCUGUAGAGAAUAUCUGCUGAAGAUAUUCUUGGUGCUAAAUAUUUGUGGACAGACUAUUUGCUUUGCGAUCCCAAGAGGUGAUAUAAUGUGUAUGUAAGUAUGUUGAACUUUUCAGAAUUCAUGUGGACUUAUCAACAUUGCCUGUAUUUUAAUUUAAAAAGGAUCACAUAUGACCUUUCUUAGAGAAAUGAUAUGUUUUUUUUCCUCAGCCUACCUAAUUUGAGUAUUUCACAAUUCGAGACAAAGAAAUAAUGUCAGCAGAAGCAGGAACUUUUAUUGUUCUUUGUUGUAGUUGCUGGAAGAGAAGCAGGGAGCAAAUGUUUUGUGGUUUUUUCAAGCAAUAAAUAGGUAACUCAAAUAAAAAUAUAUGUUUGUGUACAUGUGUUCAAGCAAGUUUUUAUAUGUUUAAAUGACAUACUUUUUUAUACAUAAUGUAUUUGCAAUAAAAUGCAUGUACAUUUCUGUAUUAAAAUGUGUUAAAUUUCUCAAAUCCUGAAACUUUUUAUUCUUAAAUCUUGAAAAAUAUUUUAAUGAAAACUUAUAAUUGUGGACAAGUUUCUAUUUAGAUGUGCUAUUUAUAUUGCAGUUCAUGAUAUUCAGUCUAUCAUAGGUCAAGAUUUUGUACCUAAUAAUGUGGACAUGGGAAUGUACAAUGUGUUGCUGUCAGACAUGGAAAUGCAUCAAAUUAAUGUUGUUAAAAUGGUUGAUAUUGCUAAGGCCUGUCCAAGGCAGGCCUGUUGCUUAUACACAACCAAGAAUUUUGGGUGUGAGCUUGGAGCUCUGUCUAAAUAUGCCGAGAAAACUUCAAUUUUAUAUGAUAACGGAGCUCGUGAAUGCAAAACUUGAUGGCUUACUGGAACUUUAUUAAAAAAUAUGUCAGGAGAGGCUUUGGAUCAAUCGUGGAAGAAGCUGAAACAGAAAGGUAUAAUCAGAAAGGAAGCACUAAAGAUGUCUCAUUUAAAGCAGUUAGCAAGAAGAAAGUAAAUGUAUUUGAUGAGAAUACUACACUUCUUUUGCAAUAGUUCCACAGUGAGUGGCGGGAAGAUAUUCAGAAAGAAAGUACAGGUAAGUUCUGAUCUUUUGAAAAUAUUUCUAUCAAGCCUUGAGUACUCAAUGCACUGAGUUUGGAUAAAUCUUGAUCUUGAUUCAUAACAGAGUACUUUGCCCAGAUUUAAACCAUGACAUGGGACAUGGCGAGUCAGGAAGAUGAACUUAUGAAGCCUCUUGCAGUUAUCAACUUGAAGGUUAAGUUAUAUUCUCUAAUAUAUUAUACUGACUAAAAGAAUGCAGUAAUUUAUGGUUGAAGAGUGCAAUAAUUUAUGUCUGAAAAAUAUAAUUUUUUCCUCAAGUUUCUUAGACACAUAUAAUAGAAAUUUCAAAACUAUAUUAUCAUCCAACAACAUUAACAUAACUAUGUCAUCUGAUAUAGGUGUUCAAAUACUAUAGAGAUUCAAAUUGAAAGUAAAAUACUCUGGCAACUAAUUUUAGUUAUGACAGUUAAGUAGUAAGAUGAUUUUGUAUUAACAUAUCCUAUUUUCCAGUAAUUUUUGGUUGUUUAGUUAUAAGUGGAUUGCCAAGCUUAAUUGGUUAGAAUAUUUGUACUUUUUUAUUAAUAAAAUUUAUUACUGUUUAAAAUUAGGGCAUAGUAUAAAAUCUUGAGAAACCCCUUCAGCAUGUGUUUAGAUAAGAAAUAAAUUAUAGAGUGUAUUGUUUUGUUAAGUUGAAUUAUAAUUUUUUUAAGCAGGCUGCAUGGCUUUCUUAUGACAUGAGAAUGGUGUAGGACGCGUCAUCUUGGCUAUUAGACAAAUUCAAUGGUAUAACUCGAGGCAUGUUAGUACAUACUGCAAGAGUGUUAAUUCAGGGGUGGCGAUGAACUGGAACUCAAGAAAUGUUAAUACAAGGGUGGUGAUGAGUUGAAGCCCAAAUCUAACUCAGAAAUGGCAAAAGGCAAGAGCAAAGAUUUCGAAAAAACAUUUCGGGACACAACUCUGAUCCUCAAGUUAACAACCAAAGGUGGCAAGCACCUCCACAUGGCAAGCUCAGAAUAAAUGUUGACGCCUCCGUAUGCUAAAAGUCUUUUUAUUUUUUGGUUGUUAUGCUACUAAGAGAUAAAGAUGGAACAUUUCUGAGAGGAAAAAAUCAUACAGUUCAAAAGAGAACAAUCUCAGUGUUUGAAGCAAAAUAACAUUCAGGAUAAAUGAGGUAUUUUCUUAGAUUUCUUCUCUCCAAAAUAAGAAUGUAAUUGUCGAGACGGACUCCUUAUUGUCCAUUUGACCUGUGGCGUUAAAGUCUGUAAUCUGCAGGACGUGGGCAACGUAGUAGGUACCUGCAGGUUGGAACUUCAGAAUAUGAAUGAUAUCUAUAUUCAGUAUGUUAAGAAAAUAUGUCUGUUUGUGGAAAUGCUAUAAUGAAACAAGGUCCCUCUCCUUCAAUUGGUGGAGAUAUGAUUUUAGAUUCUCUGUUGGUUUAAAAAUUAUGAUCUGGGUGUUUAAAGUACUCAGAUUAUUUGUGACUUAUAAAAUUUAAGGUGCUGAUUUCCGUUCCUCCUCACAGCCAGCUUCAUUAGCUGAUUUAUUAAGAAGAGUAUAUUUUGACUCUUCUAUCUUGAUGGUAGUUAAGUUGAGAAAAUAUUAAAUUAUUAAGUUGAUAUUAUUAAGUUUUAUCAACGCUAUAGAUUGUGUUUAGUUUAAACAAAUAAAUGCAGUAUUUAAUACAGUUAAAAUAAAUUUUUUUUAAAGGAGAUCCAUUUUAAUGUGCUGGGAUAUUUUUUUUUUUUUUGAUAAUAAAUGUACUGGGAUUGGUAUGCGUGAAUUAACAAGAUUUUAGCACGCGUAGCGCGGUCAAAGUGUAAUAACUGUAAUUCGUAUAACUUUUAAUAUCUUAUUGUAUUGCAUUAUGUCCCUAAAUUUAUUACCGAGCGCAUGUUCUUUCCUAUAAGUACUGGGAAUUAACAAUAACGAUUUAGAAAACUAUCAAUUAUAAGUUUAAUUGUUAUUUAACAUUUUUCGGAAACAUAUACAAUAAUCAACAUAUUUUAGUUAAGCAUUAUGUUAUUGUCAGUUUAAAAAAAUAAUUGAAGCUCGCCAAGCGCUUGCUGUCAGUAGAUCCAACAUGGAUAUUAUCUAACAUAAAUUUUCAUUAAGUUUAACCAUAACCAAUAGUAAGAGUAGUAAUCAUUUAUUUCAUGGCUGAGCAUAUUUUAAUAAUGAUUAUAAUACUGAUGUAAUCAUUUAUAACCAAUAGUAAAAAUAGUAAUCAUAUUUGCUAAAAAUUUGGCAAAUGUGCAUUCUAUUUCUUCCAAAUUAUUAACUAAAAUCGAAGUAAAUGUUCUACUCAUAAUAAAAAUAAUUUUAAUGGGAAAAUAUACAUUUCGCAAAUGUAUUAAAUAUGCAAAUUUUGUAAAAUUUUCAGUUUUUGUACGGGAGCUCGCGUAGCGCGGGCAUAAUUCCCUAGUAUAUAUAAAAGUUUCCAUAUUUAAUCAAAGCAAGGUUUCUGAUUAGUUACAUUCAAUUCAAAGAUGUGGAACAUAUCUGACAAAAAAACAACGGAGAAUAAUAAGGGUGUAAUAUGACAACAUAUUAUUUAUUCAAAAUAUUAUUAUCUCAGGUGGAAAUAUAAUUAUCUUCGAAACCUUGUCGAAAACGUUAUCCCCGCCUACUUCAAACCGAUCCCCGAACCCGUCCUCAUCCCCAAACGGGGAUUCUUUUGCUCACCAAUCCCCGCCCCCAACAGGGAACAUAAAUCCCCACAAAGUUCGGGAAAUUCAAGUUUUUUAACAAUAUUAUAAUAUAUUUAAUAAUAUAAAAUUUAAUUUAAAAUUAUAUUAAUAAGUCAUUAUACAUAAUAUUUUUCUACUUUUAUAUAACAUUUUCAGUACUAAUUCAAAUUAAUACUUAUUUAUAAUAAAAGUAGAAGAUAAAAUUAGAUUUAUUAUAAUUAAUUUAUAUUAUAAUAUGAAAAUAUUUAAGUAAUUACAUGAUGAGGAUUAUUUAAAUUAUAUAUAAUAUAAUAUAUUUAUAAUUGAUCAUUAAUAUUAUAUUAAUAAAUAAAUAUAAUAUUUAUAUUAUAUUUUAAAAUAAGGAGUUUCGGAGUGGACCGAAAAGGAAAGACAUGAUCCCCGAAUUUUUAGUAAUUACCCCGAUCGUCGUCAGGUAAACGAAAAAAUCUCCUAUUCCUUAAUACGAAUGAGGCGGGAAUCGGAUCGAGGUCGAACAGGACAGCGAGAUUGUUAGUCACUACUUAUAAAUAAAUUUAUCAAAACACUUAAUUUAUUUAUUUAUUUAUUUUUAUGAAAAAACACUCAAUUUAUUAAUUAGUUAUUACUUAUAACUAACAUAUAAAAUAAAUGAGGUAUUUUUUUUUCAAUCGAAGCCAAACGGCACCGGAAUAAGAACAUUUUCUCCCCGUAUAAACUCGUGUGUUAUUUGGGUUUACACACAGUUUUCCGCCCUAAGAACCAAGCUGCUCUCCUUCAUCCCUCUUUUGCCUCUUGCCCUAUUAUAUGCUCUUCACUCACUUUUUCUAGGUAAUUUCAUACAUAAUUAUGCACACACACACAUAUGCUAAUAUAAUCUUAUAAUGCUGCGAUAAGCAUUGUUAAUCUCUCCAAGUUUGGAUUUUUUUGUUACCCAUUUGCUUAAACUGUCGUAUUUGGAUGUUUUUGUGGGUCUUGAUACUGUAAUAUAGCUUGAUAGUGGUGAUUUUGAAUACUGAUUAGCUGCUAGACCAGAAAAUUACAUUGUUUCUUGAUUUGACAAUUUGCAGUACUGAUUGUUUUGUUAAGUACAUUUAAAUAUAAUUUAGUGUUAUGAUUUGCAAAAGGGUACUUUUAAUAAAUAUAUUGAGAAACAUGUGCACGAAUAUGUGUUAAUAUUAUCAUAUAAAGCUAUGAGUAGGACUCGUUAAUCUCUCCAAGUUUCGAUUAAUUUAUUACCUAUUUGCUAAAAAAUUGUUUUUUAAUGUUAUUGUGGGUUCUUGAUGGUAUAUGAUAGCUUGAUAGUGGUGAUUUCGAUUACUGAUUAGCUACUGGAUUAGAAAAUUUGAUUGUUUGUUUCUUGAUUUUAUUUGAUAAUUUGCAGUACUACUUGUUGUGUUAAGUACAUAGAAGUUAAUGUUAUGAUUUGCAAAAGGGUACUUUUAGGAUAUAUAUUUUGUGAAACAUGGUCUAACUAGUGAAGAAAAUUUCAGUAGAUUCAAUAAAUGUGAUGUUUUGAGUAUAUGUUCAAUUGGAGGUCUAUGUGAUUUUUUGUGAUGCCCUUGAUAGAACUAGAUUUAGUUAUAUGGAGUAUUAGAGUUCAUGUGCAAUUGAAGGUCUGAAGAUUUGUGUUAUUGUUUUUGUAGUUUUGUUUAAGUUUUGAAUUCUUAUGCGGCUAUAAAGAAUAUUUUGUGUCUGGUUUACAUUAUGGAUUGCAUUUACUGCUUUAAUGAUUUCAAGGUAUUGUUUGUUGACCCAAGUUCGAGUGACUCAAUGACUUGUGUUGGUGUUUGUGAAAUUUUGUUUAAAUUGAAUAUUUAUGCAGAUGUUUAGUUUUGUUUGAACUCUAAUGUUUAUGCAGCUUUUAAGCUUAAUUCCAAUCCAGUCUGCAUGAUGGACUCUGUUCAAGUGUUCAUUAUUAACUAUUUUAUUGUAUUGUUUGACGACAUAAGUUUGAGUGACCUGGGAUGAACUUGGGGUUUUACUUGUGAGCUCUUAAUUUUCUUCCUAAUUAUGGAUUUUCUCUCCUUCACAUUACAUAUAUGUGUAUAUAUCUAAUACUUUAAAUCAUUUGUCUACCAAUCAGAGACCCAAGCUAAUGGAGUUGUCUGCACGAUGCCAAUCUUGCGGCGAACGGUCUCUGGUCACUGAUGAAGUUUCUGAAAAUUUAAUCUGCACAACAUGUGCUGUUGUUCAGGAUUACAACAAUUUUCAGGCCCAUGUUGGUGGUAUUAGUGGCCCGGCUGGCACAUAUGUCCGCACUGGCACAUCAGGCUCUGGCAAUAAUUAUUCGUAUAAAGAAAGCAAAAUAUAUAAAGCUGGGGUUCUUAUUGAUGAUAUUUUGUUCAAAUUGAAUUUUUCUGUUUCAUCGAUAGAUGAGGUUAAAAAAAUGAUUGUGACUAUUACUGAAGGUGAGUAUGGUCAAGGUGAUUGGUUUAGUAUAUUUGUUGGUGCGUGUGCUUAUGUUGUUCGGAGGAAAAAUGGGAACCUUCUGCCUAUGACGGAUGUGGCUGCUGUAGUCUGCUGUGAUACACUGAUACUUAUGAGUUAGGAAGAAUGGUUAAUCGAGUUGUUAGUUUUCUUGACUUGAAGUUGCCUGAAUUUGAUAUUGUUUAUUUGUAUGAAACUACACUUAGAAAUAGCCCGAGCUUUAGCUGCAUUGAAGCUGAGAAAAAGGAGGUGAUGUUAAAACAGGGGGUGUUUUUGGUGCAGUGUUUAAUAAAGUGGUUUGUGACAACGGGGAGAAGGCCAGUGCAGGUUGUAGUGUCAGUGUUGGUAUUUAUUGGACAGUUAAAUCAGUUAAAUGUUAAAAUUGAGGAUUUGGCUAGUGAAUUGAAUGUGCCUGCUGUCACUUGUCGAUUGAGGUACAAGGAGUUGUUAGAGAGGCUUGUGGAGGUUGCAAGAGUGUUGCCAUGGGGAAAAGAUGUUAAUAUAAAGAAUAUUGUGAAAUUUGCACCAUAUGUCAUUCAAUAUAUGGAAAUGAAGUCGAUGGGUAAUGGUCUAAAACAGAUAAAAAAUUCAGAUAAUGUGGGAUUUGACAUUGCUUAUUUUUUGAGUGAUUGUUUGCAGGAAAGAUCAGAUAACAUGAUUGAUUCAUAUAGGUCUUGUGAGGGGGAUGAUUUUUUUUCACACAAUACUGAGCAAGAACAAUCACCUAGUCUGGAUUAUGCUAAUCUGGAUAAGUUUAAUAUUUCACCUGAAUGCUUGAAAAUGAUUUAUUCCAAGUGCAUGGAAGAGGUUUCUGAUUUUCGUUCCACAUCGGAGUUUGGAAAGGAAAAUAGAAAGAGAAGGAAGAGACAUGACAACUACCUUGACUGUACAGACUGGUGGAAAGGCAAGUCAGAACUCAGCAAAAAACUCUCUCUCAAGAAGAUAUUGGAGAAAGAUGUAGGAAUGGAUGUGAUGCCUCCAGCAUUCGUUAAUGGAUGCUUGACAUACCAGAUGAGAAGAGAUAAGAUUGAGGCGGCUAAGGCACGCAUUAAAAACAUCAUGUUUCCAUCGAAUGCUGGUUUACAUGCUGGGUNUUGAAUUUUUCGGUUCCAUCUAUAGAUGAGGUUAAAAAAAUGAUUGUAACUAUUACUGAAGGUGAGUAUGGUCAAGGUGAUUGGUUUAGUAUAUUUGUUGGUGCGUGUGCUUAUGUUGUUCGGAGGAAAAAUGGGAACCUUCUGCCUAUGACGGAUGUGGCUGCUGUAGUCUGCUGUGAUACUUAUGAGUUAGGAAGAAUGGUUAAUCGAGUUGUUAGUUUUCUUGACUUGAAGUUGCCUGAAUUUGAUAUUGUUUAUUUGUAUGAAACUACACUUAGAAAUAGCCCGAGCUUUAGUUGCAUUGAAGCUGAGAAAAAGGAGGUGAUGUUAAAACAGGGGGUGUUUUUGGUGCAGUGUUUAAUAAAGUGGUUUGUGACAACAGGGAGAAGGCCGGUGCAGGUUGUAGUGUCAGUUUUGGCAUUUAUUGGACAGUUAAAUCAGGUAAAUGUUAAAAUUGAGGAUUUGGCUAGUGAAUUGAAUGUGCCUGCUGUCACUUGUAGAUUGAGGUAUAAGGAGUUGUUAGAGAGGCUUGUGGAGGUUGCAAGAGUGUUGCCAUGGGGAAAAGAUGUUAAUGUAAAGAAUAUUGUGAAAUUUGCACCAUAUGUCAUUCAAUAUAUGGAAAUGAAGUCGAUGGGUAAUGGUCUAAAACAGAUAAAAAAUUCAGAUAAUGUGGGAUUUGACAUUGCUUAUUUUUUGAGUGAUUGUUUGCAGGAAAGAUCAGAUAACAUGAUUGAUUCAUAUAGGUCUUGUGAGGGGGAUGAUUUUUUUUCACACAAUACUGAGCAAGAACAAUCACCUAGUCUGGAUUAUGCUAAUCUGGAUAAGUUUAAUAUUUCACCUGAAUGCUUGAAAAUGAUUUAUUCCAAGUGCAUGGAAGAGGUUUCUGAUUUUCGUUCCACAUCGGAGUUUGGAAAGGAAAAUAGAAAGAGAAGGAAGAGACAUGACAACUACCUUGACUGUACAGACUGGUGGAAAGGCAAGUCAGAACUCAGCAAAAAACUCUCUCUCAAGAAGAUAUUGGAGAAAGAUGUAGGAAUGGAUGUGAUGCCUCCAGCAUUCGUUAAUGGAUGCUUGACAUACCAGAUGAGAAGAGAUAAGAUUGAGGCGGCUAAGGCACGCAUUAAAAACAUCAUGUUUCCAUCGAAUGCUGGUUUACAUGCUGGGUACAGCCAUUGCCUUUCAACAACUGCUAAAAAGGAGAAGAAGAAAAAGAAACGACAUGUAGAUGUUGAUUGGGAAGAUCUUAUAAUUGAAACUCUUCUUCUGCAUCAGGUGAAGGAAGAAGAAAUAGAGAAGGGGUAUUACAAAACCUUGAUGGACUUGCAUGUUUUUAACUCAGGUUGUUUUGAAUGAUCUCAACUGUACGCAGGUAUAUUCAGCUGCAGUGAGACAUCCUGGAAGAGAUUAUGCUGGCGAUAGAUGGAUUCAUCUUUUAUUUGUAAUCGGAGAUUGAUACAUGAACAUGUUUUUUUUUGAUGAUGAGCAUUGAGUGAAAUUAUAAGAUAUAAAUAUAACCGGAGAUUGUGCUUAGACUAAUAUAAUAUAACUUAUCGUAGUAGUUUUAGCUCUCAAUCUGUUGAUCACUUGCCCGUAAUUAAGGUAACUGACAUUGUUGGUAGUACCAUUAGUAGAUCCAGGGAUCUUGAUUAUCUUAUUCUGUCAUGAUGCAAAGACUUUUAGUGGCAUGGAACCUCGUCUAUUACAGGUUGAUUGGCCUUGUUUGUCUUCCUGGCUUUUAUACCAAUCGAGCUAUUAUACCAUACAGAAAAUUUUAGUCUUUCCCACCAGUUAUUGUGAUUCCUUGUGUCAGAUUAUUUGCAAAGUCUAGACAUUGUUUAUAAGAAUGUUAUUUUCUGCAUUUCGGCAGAAUUGCUAUUAUGUUCCUCCCAUAGCUGCAGCUGCAAGGACUCCUGGUUAGACUCUCCCCUCCCUCCCUUCACAGGCUGGAAAUAUUUUUAUUCAUGGACCCUGAACAUUUUCUUAUGCGGAUCUUUGCCUGUAAAACUUUAGUUAAGAGCUACUUGCCUGUUAGAGAUGCCAGGUUCGUCAUGGAAUUGAUGAUCUACUCAUGCAUCUUAAUUCUUACGGUAAGUAUUGAGGAAUAAAAUAUAAGGGUAGUUUUGUCAUUGCGGUAAAAUCUAUAUUGGACUAUAUAUAAAGUCCCACAGGUUUCAUUUCAGCGGUAAGGUUAAUUCAUAAUGUAGCCGAUUAAUAAAUUCUUUCCGUUUUUCUUCGUCUCUGUUCUAUCUCUAACAUAUUGAUAAAUAAGUAUUAUGCUUGUCAACAGGUAUCAGAGCCUUCGGUUCUAACCCAAGAUUUUUAACUCUGUGUUUUCUUCCGAGGGUUAGUGUGUUGAUUGGGUGCUGCAGCUUAUAUAUUUGAUGAAUUGUCUGACCCAGGGAUUCAUUAGCUGGUAACAUCUCUUAUUCAUCCGAAGUUUGCAAAGUUACAUAAUGAGUUAUCUUAGGAAUUUGUGCCCUAGUUGAAGAAGUUAUGGUUUGAGUUGUGAAAAUUAUAUGAGCUUUGUGAUAACAGAUAAGGUGUUUGACAGAAUUCCUAAAAGAAAUAAUGUUUCAUUGAGUUGUUUAUUUGUUCUGACCGAUUUCGUAGUUGUUCUUAAAAUACAUAUGGCUAGUGUCUGCUAAGUGUUUGAUUUAAUGUCACAUCAUUAUAUAUAUAGCCAUGUAAUAGAGGCCAAUUUAGAUUAGCAAAGGAUUAGUUCUUUGUCAUUGCUCUGUCUAUUCCUUGGAUUAUGCUAGAACCCGUCUUGCAAAUGAUGUAAAGACUGCAAAGAAGGAUGGAAAGAGGCAGUUCAAUGGAUUGGUUGAUGCUCCUUAAGUGAGCUUGUUCCCUUUGUGGUUUGUGCUUUUUCAUGGGUUGUAAGGUUCCUCAUUAUAAACUAGUAUCUUCUUUCCAUUUUCAGGUCAGUUGAUAAGGCCCAUAUGAAGCUUGCUGGAGCAAAGUCUAUUCUUCGAUUAUCUAGAUAUUGGGAUCAAAAAGAUUCCCCUUGAUCUCUUCUACUCUACCCUAAGAAUUUCCGAGGUUAAGUCUUUAGCAUUUGAACUUAAAUAUAAAUAUAUAAAAUGAUAGUAUAUAUUGUACUUUUUUAAUAUUCACUUGUGUUCUCCUUGCACAUUGUUGCAUACCUUAUUAUUGAAAUAUUACAAAUAGAUUAUGUUUUGAUCCUUUUGCUUGACACAUGUAGGUUGAUUUUCCUCAAGUUGAAAAACUAUAUCUGAGAAGUGAGAAAUGUUCACCCAUACAUUAAGGAUCGCCUUUUGGACCCCAAAUAUGCUUGUGCAUUCUUAUCUAAUGAAAUCUAACAAUCUUUCUGCAACCAGAAUCAAUGUGUAUUUUGUAUCACUAACUGCUAGUCUUGCUUAGUGAUGAUUAUAUACAAUGACUGAAUAUAAAGUUUGUCAUGCCAGCUGGAGAGUAAUGGAAUGCCAGCUGGAGAGAGUGGUGGAAUAUGGCAUGGAUCACAUGUAUUGCAGCAUACUAAAGCUUAACCUGGAUAUUUUAUGGUAAACAAUAUUUACCCAAUACUACACAAUAAUUCACAAUAAAAAAUAUAAUCUAUAAAAAUAUAAAGAAUAGAUUUACUAUAUAAUUUGUAAUGUGAAAACGUUUUGAGUAAUUAGGUUGACAAAAUGAAAAUACAAGAGACGAGACGAAGAAGAAAAAGAAGUUGUUGGGCCUCAGCCCGGAAGAGUGAGGAAGACUAACCUAGCCCAGUAAGCAAGCACAGGCAGGUGACGUGGUAUAAUUAUAGCGGAGAAGCUAUGGCUAAAAGGGUUUGAAAUUCAGAGCAGAGAAAAGGGGGAGGGUUUGUACUAUUAGACUAUCAAAUAACGGUUGCAUUCACAAGGGAGUAAUUGAGUGCGUAUAUAAGAACAGGAGGGCAGAGAUGAGUCAUUACAUCAAAUAUUACUCUGAAGAGUUGAUAACCUUGACGGAUUGUACUUGUCCUAGUUUUUCUCCAUCUACAGCAAGCAUAACAUUUGGAAGAAAUUCCCUAAUUGUUGCUCAUAUAGAAGUCAACAAGUUUUGAGGGUAAUCAUUAUCCAUUUACUGAGAAGGCGGAAAGAAUAAUAAUUACCCUCAAAACUUGUUAGAAUUCUAUAUGGGCAACAAUUAUGAAAUUUCUUUGAGAUGUUAUGCUUGCUGCAGCAGAUGGAGAACAACUGGGACAAGCAGAUGUUGUUCUGGAGAUACAAAAGUGCGCCACAAAUAUUUAUUUAUAUGAAGAAAUUUCCAUAACCGCAACGUCUAAAAGGACACCCGAAGGUGUCGAGCAUAUAAUUUCUUGUAUGUCCUUGAACCUAUUUGUUCUUCUGGACAUUUUCAACUAUAUUUUGUUCUUUACUUGGGUGAUUAUUUGUUGAUCUGUUUAUUUGGUUCUUUGACAGUGGAUGAAAUCGCCUAUUAAUUGUAAUGAACCUCGGUCUCUCACAUCCCAGCAGCUGAGGAGAUCUUAAGUAAUAGUUGGAGAUGAGGGGUAUACCGUCCCUUCUUAGAAAGGUAAAUAACCAUUCUUUUAGGGAAUAAAUAGAUAACAGUUCUCUUCACAUUCAAUAUCCUCUAAAAUUUUAAGUACAUGAAUGUCGUAUAACUAUUUGUAUUGGUGGCCUAUGGAAUUUUAAGUGUAUAUACAUAAAAAUUUUAUAUCAUAACUUCAAUUUUUAAAAUUUUCACUGUCCGACACGCACUUCAAUGCUCUUAUAAAAUAUGGUUCUAUAACUUAUUUUUAAAAUUUUCGUCUUCUGAAUAAAAAUAUAACAUUCAAACUUUUAUACAGAAAAGAAAAAUCUUAAAAAUAAGUUAUAGAACUAUACUUUACAGGAGCAUUAAAGUCCGUGCCGCAUCCCCGUCCCCCAAUGUAUAUAACUCAUGGGGACGGAGGGAGUAACAGUUUGGAUAAAAAAUAAAGGGUACUUCUUAAUAAAAAACUGAUGAAGGUUUAAUUCGUUGUGUUUUAGAUAUUGACUUGUAUCUUUGACUAUUUGGUUUGACUGGAAGGAAACUCUUAAUUCUGUUAAUGAAGUUUCAUAUAUGACAUCUUCACAUCAUAUAUAUGCAUGUAGUAUUUUGUAUAUAUAUAUCCUAUCCUCUUAAUCCUGAAUCAUAUUUGUCGAAUUUAUGUAUCCUGGUAUAUUGCCCCCACGCCGGGGUUCUUGUUCUGCUCAAAAUCUCCCAAGUUCAUUUUGUUUUCUAUCUAGUAAAUUGUCUGCAAAACUGUAUAUUUGUCUGCUUUGCAGUGGAUGAAUUGGAACAACAUAUGCCCAGCAAGUCAAUUGAACCUCGGUCCGUCACUUCCCAACCAACAAAAUCUGUAAAAAUCUUAGAAGAUGAGAGAAAUACUGUCAUAAGCGAACUUCGGGGCAGGGACGGAGCCAUGAAGACUCAUCAUUCUGCUUUGGGAGGAACUUCUGAAGAGAUUGUUAAAGAGCAUGCUGUGGCGGUUGAAAGGGGUAACACUGCCACUUAAUUUCUGGAAUAAACUACAAACGUGCAUAUUGAGCUUAAUACACAAGCGCGCAACUGCACAUGAAUAUAUUACAUUAUUUGCAUAUGACUAAACUGGAAGCUGGAUUUUUAUUUCAUUGGUGGAUUUACUGUAGAUGAACCCAUAGAAGAAUCAGCUGCUGAUGACUUUGAGUAUGCUGCGAGGUAUGAAGACGUGGGACAUGCUAUGAUUACUGCAUCUCAGCCUUCCAGUUUGCAAACCAUGAAAUCGUUGCCUCAACAAGUCAAUAUGAAAAAGAUGGUGUUAGAAAAUGAAGGAGAUGCAUCCACUCAACUUCCCUGCAAUUUGCAACGGUGUGAGGAUGGCACUGAACAAGAGGAACAAGUUUUGGAGAUGCAAAAGAGUACCCCAAUCAUUAACUCACAUAAAGGUAUUGCCAAAGGCGAAACGUCAAGUUAUACACCUGACAAUAUUCUGAGGACAUUCAUUGUUGGUCUUUCUACCUAUAUGUUUUGCUCGAUAUUUCAUAUCAUGCCUGUGCUCCUUUAAUGGUCAAAUAUCUGCUUGGUUGCUUUGCAGUGGAUAAAUUGCAAGAAGCGCCACCUACCAUUAGCAAAGAGAGUCUUAGCCAGCAUUUUGGGAAAUCACUAGAUGAAGCAAGAGAGAUAUUUGGUGGUAAUUUUUAUUGUGACAUUUCCAUUAUAAAAUAUCAAUGUUAUUGCAUUAGUUAAGCUCUGUAACUUGUUUUAUAUGUUCACUAUUGUAGUUAGUCGAUCUGAAUUUAAAAGGAGGUGCAGAGAUGUUGGUAUUAAAAGGUGGCAAUAUGGCAAGAGAAAGAUGGGUAGCAACAGUUCUUCAAAGCACAAGCAAAGACUAAACAAUGGGUAUUCUACAAACAUGCCUCAUGUGCAAGAUCAACCUGUUAUUUCCCAUACAACCCGGGUCUUGAAUACGAUGGAUGAAAAGGUGAUGUAUAACGGUCUCAUUUUAAGGUUUGAACUGCCUGAACUAUCAGGAAUAUCAGAGUUAGAAGACAAUGUGAUUAAGAGGCUGCACUUGGAUAAACAGAGUUUCAGUAUCAAGUACGAAGAUGAUGGCGGUCAUUGGGUUCUAAUUACUUGUGACGAGGAUGUGCAGUACUGUAUGAAAAUGUCAAGAUUAUGGAAGAAAACAACUAUUAAUAUGUUGGUUAGCCAGACUGCUAAUCAUUAAGCUCCUUCAAAGCAGAUGACACCCAUUUUUUUCCCCUCCGAGAGAUAUUUAUAUGAUCUGCUUGCUGCCUUUUCUACAACAGUAUGACAUCUCUCAUAUUACAGACCAUAGCAAUAGCCAAUAGAUGCCCCAGACUUGUAGCAUAACUCCAAGUCCAAUGUUUGCUGUAAUUUUUGAGAUUUUUUAUUUUUUGAGCACAUAGUCGAUUUAUAAUUUUGGUGUUAUAAUUAUUUUUUUGCACAGUGAGAUGAAUUAUAAGUAAAUUUGAAAGUUUAAAAAUAUUAUGAUAUUCAAGCUGGAUACUUAAAAUAAAUUUCUAAUGGGCUUGAAGCCUUGAACCUCAAGCGACAAUCGAUGAAGUGACAAGUCACUGAAGCAAUAUUUUUUUCCGGAUCCAAUAUAUAUUUUUUCUGGAUCCAAAAUAUAUUUAUACUGUUGACAAAAUAAUGGGUCUGUUUGACUAAAAAAAUUUAAGGUCUUAUUCUUUUAGGAAAUGCAUAAUUUUAUAAUUGUUUUGGAUAUAUUCCCUCCGUCCCAAUGAAUUAUAUACAUUUAUAUACAUUGGGAUUGGACACGGAAACCAAGAAAAAACGUAAGAAAUGAUUAAAGUUAAAUGAAAAGUGGAUAAAGUGGCGGGACCUAUAUAUUUUUUUAAUAAUAGAUUUGAGAUAGUGGAGGAAAGUAGUAGGUGUAAUAUUAUUUUUAUCGGUUUUUCUAUGGUGUGCCCAAGGGCACACACUAAGCACUAAAACUUAUAAAUUUGGGAGAUUUUGAUUGGCUUACACUCUUUAAUAAUGAUGACCCCCCUUGCAUUUACAACAACCACACCAAUCAAAUCCCUUCAAUUUUAUAAAUGUUAGUGCUUAGCAUGUGCCCUUGGGCACACACUAGACAAACCCUAUUUUUAUUAUUAUAGAAUAGAGAUAGUGGAAGAAUAUAGUGGGUGUAAUAGUGUUUUAUAUUAUAAAAAGUUGCUAUUUUGGAAAUGUAUAGAAAUGAUGGGACAUCCCAAAAAGAAAACUUUAUAGAAUUGACUGGUAAGAGCUAAAGAGGUAUUUAAUUUCAUGUACUUUUUUUCACAAAUAAAUCCUUAUUUGUGAAAUCAAAAAAAAAGUUUAGCCAAACGGCCAUUAUGUUUUUCCUUGGCCCGAACCAUAUACAGUACGAGUAAGAUGUACCAUAAAUCUACUCAAAUUGGUAUAUAAUUCGUUGAUAACUCUUACCAAGCAAGAACUAAGUUACAAACCUUGUAUUUGUCUACCAGUCCCAAACCUAGUCUACUAUUGGAGACUUGACAAAAGAACAACAUACCCAGUGGCUACAAAUGCAAUUAUGUGAAUGCAAAUUUCCCAGUGGCUUCAAGAUGCGUAGUGUUUGAUAGGCCGAUCUACCAGCAUCUUAAUAGUUGUCUUUUCUGAUAACCUUGAGGUUUUUAUACAAUUCUGCAGAUCCUUGUCACAAGCAAUCAACACCCAAUCACCCUCAUCAUCUUGAUACUUGAUGCUAAAUGUGUCUCUCUCCACUUUCAGCCUCUCAAUCACACUAUCUUCCAAGUCUACCAUUCUUGAUGAAUCGAGCAAUUCAAAUUUUAUAGCAACUUCGUUAUAAGUUGCCUUCACAGUUAUCAUAUCUGUAUCUUGCAGAGGGGGGAUUCCUGGACAAUAAGAAUCUGUUCUACUCGGGUCCUCAUCACUAACUCUCCCAAGCUUAGAUGAACGCCGGCUGUCCAGCUUCUUCUUGUGAGACCGCCACCUUUUAAUACCAUUGUCUCGACAUAUGCGCUUGAAUUUCGAUCGGCUAACUAAAACCAGUAAACAUGUAGGAAAAAAUACACAACUAUGGAAUAAGUAUUUCUACAACAAUAAUUUCAUUACUGGUUUACAUAAUAUGAGCAAGCACAAGAACAAGGUCAGAAAAACAUACCAUUAAAAUGCUUCGCUACAUCAUCCUGUAGUUUACCAAAAUGCGCGCUUAGAAUAUCAUAACUAUACUCGUUUUCAGAUGGUUUCCCUUCUUUUGAUGUUUCCUCUAUGCAUGUUUUAUGUAAAACAUGAUUGCAGGAGUCAACUUUUUCUGCACCCACAACAAGCCCAUAUUUGUGCAUGGUGUGUUGAUGAGGUGGUGAUUUUUCAGUUCGAAAAUUUGAAGACUGAGUUUCAGCAUUCGUCGCAUACCCAUCUUGAACAUGCAAUUCUUGAGCUGCAUCCCCUGCAAAAUCUAUAAAUGAAGUAAAAACCAACUUUCAUUUACAUUCCGAGCUGUUAUUUAUUUAUCCAUGCAAUACCAAAAUAACAAAACAAAAACAGUGAAGAAGAGAGGAGAGCACACUUAUAAGUGUUUAAGAAGUUCAGCAAACUACUUUGUGUUAUAAAACCCAUGCCUCGUAUCAUCAUAUGAAACCCACAAGUACAAUAACAUAAGAGAAAAAAUAACCAAUAGACAUAUACACUAUAUCCAUAUCAUUCUUACAUUCAUGAGUGGACUACAUUAUGACUAAUGUGCUGCAUACUGUAUCAGAAUCAUCACGAUAAGUGACGAAAGGUGUAACUAGGGUGUUGGGAUAUACUUACGGGUCCACAUGUAACAGAAAAUCUGAUUCCACGAAAAAUGAUUCUCAAACAGUCAUAACAGAUCCUAACCAAUUGGGCCAAAUGAGAAUUAACAUGUGAUAGGCAUCAGGAGCACCAGUCUAGACUUAGAAUAUGACCAUAGUAGUGAUCUGUAUAUAGAAGUCUAGAAACUACAAUUAUGCUUAUAACCAGACAGAGAUAGCAAAUAACGGCAUAUAUUCAUAAUAAUUUGAAUGCAUAUAAAAUGGAGAAAGAAAAAGUGAUCAUUUGUAUUUUAAACUGCAUAUGACAAAUAAAUCAAUUAACAUUUUAAUUGUUGAUGAUGAUUAAUGUCACAAACACUGAAACUCGAUCAACCUUUAUGCUAAAUAACAAAUUUGUCUCUGCCCAUUUUAUAUAAUAACCAAUAACAUAUUUUCACUCUGCAAUUCCUGAGGCAUCAAGGAGUUCAUACUUUACAGCUACUCCAUAAAAAGGUAGCUUCAAAUGAACUAAUUUCUUGUCUUGGUUUGUGUGAGCAACAACAGCAGUAUUGUACCCUCAAUAUGUACUCUCAUAAGCUUGCAGGAACUGUUACUGCCUACUCUUAUCUUGCCAGAUUUCUGCCUUUUAAUGUUAUAAUCUAUACAUAUGCAUUAAUUGGACUGACUUUAUAACCAAUAAAUAUUCAAAACCUACAAGAGAUAAAAAAAUGUUAACAAUUAAAUCAUAACUGGUUUGAGCACGGUUGGAUAGCUCAAGUGGUUAAGAGCUUAUCCUCUGUCGCCCCAGGUGCUAUAAGCCAUAUUUGUCAAAAACAUCAUAACUGGUUUAUGAUUUAAGCAAAAUGAGAUAGAAGCGCAAGAACAUGUUAUACGAAGCUUUUUGUGAAAGCUCAUCAUCCACUGGUUCUCCAAAACUCCCCUAGAAGCCCUAAAUAUAAGAAUCUGUUCUCCUGGGUCCUCAUCACUAACUCUCACAAGCUUAGAUGAACGCCGACUGUCCAGCUUCUUCUUGCAGGAUCGCCACCUUUUAAUACCAUCAUCUCGACAUAUGCGUUUAAAUUUCGAUCGGCUAACUAAAACCAUUAAACAUGUAGAAAAAGAUAUACAACUAUAAAAUAAGUAUACCUACAACAAUAAUAUCAUAACUGGUUUAUAUAAUAUGGCAAGAACAAGAACAAGGUCGGAAAACAUACCAUUAAAAAGGUUUGUUACAUCAUCCCGUAGUCCGCCAAAAUGCGAGCUUCGAAUAUCAUAACUAUACUCGUUUUCAGAUGGUUUCCCUUCUUUUGAUGUUUCCGCUAUGCAUGUUUUAUGUGAAACAUGAAUGUAGGAGUCAACUUUUUCUGCACCCACAAUAAGCCCCUUUAUGUGCAUAGAAUCUUCCACUAUUGGUAGCUGAUGCGAAUGAUCCAACAUCAAUCGGUCUUCUUCAAUUUCCAUGGUUUCUUGAUGAGGUGGUGAUUUUUCAGUUUGAAAAUUUGAAGACUGAGUUUCAGCAUAUAUAGCAUACCAAUCAUCUUGACCAUACAAUUCUUUAACUGCAUCUCCUGCAAAAUCGAUAAACUAAGUAAAAACCAACUUCCAUUUACAUUCCGAGCUGUUAUCUAUUUAUCCAUGCAAGACCAAAAUAACAAAACAGAAACAGUGAAGAAGAGUGGAUGAGUGGAUGAGCACACUUAAAAGUGUUUAAGUUCAGCAAACUACUUUGUGUUAUGGAGCCAUGCCCCAUCAUCAUAUGAAAAUGAAACCCACGAAUAUAAUAACAUGAGAGGAAACCGACCAAUAUACAUAUACAAUAUAUCCAUAUUAUAGUCACAUGCAUGGGUGGACUACAUUAUGACUAAUGUGCUGCAUACUGAAUCAGAGUCAACAGGAUAAGUGACGAAAGGUGUAACUAGGGUUUUGGGAUAUUCUUACGAGUCCCCGUGUAACAGAAAAUCUGAUUCCACGAAGCAUGAUUCAGUCAUAAUAGAUCCUAACCAAUUGGGCUUCCAAGGUUCUAUAUUGUUCCCAUAUUGUUUUAAGGGUUUUUCGAUGGCAGUCCUGCAAACCAUGCUACACAUGGACUUCACACGAGGAAACGUACUAGUAUCAUUAGACUAACGAGAAUUAACACGUGAUAGGCAUCAGGAGCAAUAGUCUAAGCUUAGAAUAUGACUAAAGUAGUGAUCUGUAUAUAGAAGUCUAAAAAGUAGAAACUACAAUUAUACACAUAACCAGACAUAGUAAGCAAAUAACGGCAUAUAUGCAUUAUAAUUUGAAUUCAUAUAGGAUGGAGAAAGAAUAAGUGAGGAAUCAUAUUUAAACUGCACAUGACAAAUAAAUCAAUUAACAUUUUAAUUGUCACUGAUAAAUAAUGUCACAAACAUUGAAACUCCAUCAACCUCCAUACUUGUUCAUUUUGUCUCCGUCCAUUUUGUAACAUAACCAAUAAUAUGUCACUCUGCGAUUCCUGAUGCAUCAAGCAGUUCAUACUUUACAGCUACUUCAUAAAAGGUAGCUUCAAAUCUAUACAUAAGCAUUACUUGGACUGACUUUAUAACAAUUAAAUAUUCAAAACCUACAAGAGAUAGAAUUUCUUCAACAAUUAAAUCAUAAUAACUAAUUUAUGAUGUAAGCAAAAUGAGAUAAAAGCGCAAGAACAUGUUAUAAGAAGCUUUUUGUGGAAACUCAUCGUCCACUGGUUCUCCAGAAUUCCCCUAGAAGCCCUAAAUAUAAGACCCAUUUCAGGAUAUUCAUCCCUUCUAUUGAUGUUUCCUCUAUGUAUAUUUAAUUUAUAACUUAAAUGGUGGAACUAUCUUUUUUCCGGUUACCAAAUAACCCCUAAUAUAAAAUAGGCUGCCAAGUGGUCAAUAAAGCGACUCAAGUCCACAUGAAGGAACAACUGAAAUAAGCCCAACUCAUGCAAACAUGCUCGAAUGCACCUAGAACUCGCGGACAGUAUUUGGUCUUGGACGACCUCAUCUCCUGUCUACCACCCUACCUACAAUCAGAGAUGAUCCAAUCCAUCCUAAGCAACAAGGAGUCUUCUCCGAGACCUAAGGCCUAGUUCUUAGUCACCCGUCCAAGUGUCCGCAUGCAACCAACACAUUGACACCUGCCCACCAAAAGCUGACAUAGAUUAGAUCAUGCAUGGGGCUCUAGAUCUUACUCACCAAACUUCCAACGACUUUGAGCCUUGGUCAACACAUCACCCAUGUGAGACAUGCAGACCUCAUACCUCUGAUACAGGGAAAGCCUACGAAUUUCUCAGCUUCGUGAUCAAAGCAAAUUUAUGUUACCCAUCUCUGUUCUAUACUAAUAUUUCUAUUUGCUGCAGUAAUAUACAAAGACUAAAAAUACAGUAUUAAAUGCAUAUCCAACACCUUGACUAGCUGGUUCAUCAACUAAUAAGUAACCGAAUGAAACAAAAACCAACUUCUGUUUAUGGUAUGAGCUGACAAGCUGUCAUAGUCAGAAAAGUAUAGAAUCUAUGAUAUCACACAAAAAUGUUUCCUUGACUAACAUUGAAACAUACCUUUCCACCAUUGUAUUUGACACGCAGCACUAAGUAUGUGCAAUAUUAUGAGUAGAGAUGGAAUCAUGUGGUGCCUCUUUAAGUCUUUAGUGUUAAAUUAAAUUAUUCCAUGACUUGCAAUUCUGAAAACGUGACAAGUAGCAUGCCAUCUCCAAAGAUUGAACUGAUGGGAGAGUCAUUCAGAUUUUCAUCUAAGUGAAUUGAUAAAAAUUCAAUUAAAUGCACAUCUUUCAUAGGUUUUAUAAUCACUCAGCUGAUGAUUGGCUUCACCAUCUGCUUUUAAACUACUGGACUGGAUUAUGGGAAAUUUUUAAAGAGUAAUGCUACGCACCCCAAAUCUUGUCCCAAAUUCUUUUACCAAAUGAUGUGGCGAACAAUGGCUGAUUUUAAUUAGGUGGUUUAUGUGCAUACAUGAGCUCCCAUUAUAAUUAAUUAAUGUGAGUGAAACCAAUCAAAUAUUGCCAACUAGGAUUUGGGGGGGAAAUUACGAACAAUUUUUGGGGUACCUAGCAUUUUCCAAUUUUAAAUUAUAAAUUAGGGUUCUCCAGCAUAUUCUAAUUUGGGGGUUUAUAAGAGUCGCGCAACCCGAAACACUUGUAAAUCAAACAUACUAAAAUGGCACCAUAAAAAUAUAAAAUAGAAAAAAUGUUUAUUAAAAAGGCUUAUAAUACCUUGGUUUCCCACUGCAACCCCUUCUUGGGGCGUUAUAGCAUCCCAAUCAAAUUCCACAUUUGGACACUGUUGGAAGGCAUGAGCUCCAUCUUGGGCCUGAAACAUGUUAGCUUCCUCAUUCUCUUCCGGUGCAAUAAACUUGUUACUCUGCGCCAGAAGCUCCCCUGUAUCAGCGCCCACACACAACCCACUUCCAAAAUCCAUAGCAUCUGCACCUCUUUCAACACGCUUUUCGUGUGAUGUUAAAGGACGGUCAGGAGACAUUAAUUCACCUUUAGCACUAUAAUUGGGAAAAUUAAGCUUAGCAUUUCGACCUCUUAACCUAAAUGCCGCAUGAUCAAACGCCAAAGCAGCUUCCUCUUCCGUGUCAAAGUUGCCAAUAGAGACACCACGAAUCUUGGCUUCCCAUCCCCCAAAGGAAUCCUUACUCACUCCCAUAUAUCGGCAUACUGAUUUGACAUAUACCACUUCGUACAAAGCUCUAAUCAUACUAGUCACAGAAUCAUCCAUGGCUUCCGAUGAUUUGACGGAUGAGAUUGAUUCAACCAAUCAGAUCAUCCACACAACUCUCUACUCAACUAAUUGUUUGAUCGAAUGGAUCGAUUAGAUUUUUAAGAAAAUGGAUCAAAAUUCAAGUUCUUCAACAAAAUCUCAAAGGGCACCUGUUGAAGUGUAUCAGGUUAAGAGCAUGUUAUUAUUUAUAUGAUAUAUGAUGUGCUUACUCACAUUUAGAAAAACCAUUACUUAUUUUUUAUAAGUAACCCCGAACAAUUACCUAUUUAAUAUUUAUGAAUAAAAUAAUCCUCUCUCUCUUUCUUUCUUUGUCUAUUCUCUCCUUUUCCCCUUCUCUCCCUCAAAUUUAUUAUCAAAAUAAUUUUAAGAGAACAAAUAUAAGGAUUACUAUUAGGGUUGAUACUAAAAAUAGAUUACCUAAAUCCCCUUCUCUCCCUCAAAUUUAUUAUCAAAAUAAUUUUAAGAGAACAAAUAUAAGGAUUACUAUUAGGGUUGAUACUAAAAAUAGAUUACCUAAAUCCCCUUCUCUCCCUCAAAUUUAUUAUCAAAAUAAUUUUAAGAGAACAAAUAUAAGGAUUACUAUUAGGGUUGAUACUAAAAAUAGAUUACCUAAAUCAUUAAGAAACACUAACACUCAUUAUUUUAUAUUAUUUAUAAAUCAAUAAGAAACACUAACACUCAUUAUUUUAUAUUAUUUAUAAAUAAUAAUGAGAUAGGUAACCUAUUGGACUCGCUCUACUACCCAAAACUAGGGAUUCGCAAACCGACCCCACCUAGUAUCUGCAACCAGCGCAAGAAGCGCAAAUAUUAUGCUGAAAUAUUACAGCACCAAUCAUAAUUUUUUUUCUAAUUAUAAAUAAUAUUUUUAAUUAUUUGAUUUAUAUACAAUUUAUUAUUUAUAAGUAAUUUCAAAUAUAAUUAUUAAUUAAUAAUUAAAAUAUUUCAAAUUUAAACAUCUUUAGCAUUAUUGUUAUGCUUAUAAAUCAUAUUAUAGAAAAUAGUGUCCUUUUAUUUAUAAAAAUAAUUAUUCAACCUUUUAAUUAUAAUGAUUAUGUUGAUAAUAUGCAUAUUUCCACGUGUUUACAAAUACUUUAAAACAAAAGUUCGAUAAAAAUAUAUUUAUCCAAAUUUAGAUUCAAUACUCCAAUAUUUUGUGAAUUUCAUUAAAUUCGAACCUAAAUUUAAUAAAGUCAAAAUAAUAUAUAUUUAUAUAAAUAUUACCUAUAUUGUAUGUAUAGUGCAUAUCGUUAACAAAAAAUAAUAUAUGUAUGCUUAAAUAUUUUAAUUAAAAUACAAAAAACUAAAACUUUUAUUUUUAACAUUUUUUUAUAAUUAACUAAUUUUUGACAACCCGAUCUUUAACCGAUUUUUGGAGAAAAAUGAAUUUCAACUCGUUUAACGCUUAAUUGAGAUAGAAUCUGUUCGAGCAUCAGUCAAUUGGUAAUUAACCGUCGAUUUUUUAAACACCGAGCAUUUCACAUUAUUAAUUUAAAAUAAUAAAUAGACGCAAGCAUGGACAGGGAGUACUUGCUGUAAACUUCUUCGUCGCUGCGGACAAAUGCUCGGGCAUGAGAUGAGAGAAUGACUGAACAGUCCGAAGAAACCUCGUUACGGUUAUAGACUUAUUAAAGUUAAACAGAUGAACUUCUGAACCUUUUAACAAAUACCACUUUCUAAACGAACCGAAAUCAAUCUUUGCAAGUCUGAACAUAUAAAGUGAAACUACUAUGGAGUCUGAAUCUAGAUAUACAAAUACUAUGAAUAUUCUUUAUUAAUUACUCCCCUUUUUUUUAUCUAUUUCCGAUUAAUAUAUCGAGACUGUUUAUAACAUGAGACAAAUAAUUAAUUUACGUUUAACUUAUAACAUGAGACGGGGAGCAGUGUGUAUGAUGCAAUCAUCCAAAAGACCAAAAAGAAAACUGACGAUUUGGCAUUGCUGUGCCCCUUUUUUUUUUCCUACAAACAAAGGCAUUGCUGUGUCCUUACUUGAAUAAACUGAUGAACCUUUUCAAUAUGUCUGAUCUUAUUAUGAAGAAUGAACCAUUUGAAAUCAUGUGAAUGCAAAAGUUGUUUCAAUAAACAACUUUUUAUUAGAAAUAGGGAGGUAUUCUGCAAAAGCAUCUUUCUGCUGAUAGUUAAAAUAAUUAAAUCAUUUUUAACCCUUCCCAACUUUUAACUUAUAAUCGUAGUAUCAAUACAUUUUUUCUUAAAAAAUAUGUAAAAUCUUUAGACAAUCUUUUUAUCGGUUAUAUAUGUUGAAAAAGUUUUUAAAUAAAAUCUUAUAUUAUUUAUGAUCAUAUCAAUAUAAUAUUUUUAUAAUAACAUGAAAAGCUAACUUUCAAAAAUAACCAACAAUAACAUCUGAUCCAAUUUGUUGCGCACUUUAGAGAUCACAAAAUGUUGUAUUCGAUUGGAAUGGAUAAAUGUAAAAAUAGUGAAACAAAAUUUAAAUUUGAAUUAUUUAUUUAAAAAAAUUACUUCUUUUACCAUUCCAAUUAGGGUUAAAAAUGGGGCGGGUUCGGGGCGGGGACUUCAUUUCCCAGCCCCGCCCCAUAUAUAUUUUUCCUACCCCGUCCCCGCCCCAUUCCCCGCGGGGAUUUAUUUUUAAUCCCCAUCCCCGCCCCAUCGGGGAUUUAAUAUAAUAUCGCCCCGCCUCGCCCCGCUGCUAUAAUAUUACACUUUAUAUAAUUACUUUAAUAUUUAGUAAUUUUUUUUCAGAAUUUAAUAAAAAAAUACCAGACAUGAAUAUUAAAAGCAAAAAAUUAAAUAUAAUAGAAAUCAAAGAGACAUGUUAUACAUUGUAUAUUAUACUUUUGUGUAUUAUAAAAUAAUAAUAUUAAAUAUAAUGAAUAUAUCAUAUUAAAUAUAAUUAUUUAUUUAUAUUAAAUAUAUGCGGGGCGGGGAAUCCCCGCGGGGAUUCAACAAAUACCAUACUUGCCCCAUAUUUUGGCGGGGCAAAAAAUCAUUCCCCGUCGCUACCCCAUUCCCCAUAUUAGCGGGGCGGAUCUGCCCCAUUCGGGACAGGUCGGGGCGGGUUCCCCAUUUUCUCCACCCCAUUUUUAACCCUAAUUCCAAUCCUUAUCCCUAUAUUUAAAGGUGACACCUCCUGUUUAAGAAUGAAUGGUCCAAUCUCUAUUACUGUAUAGCGAUUCUCAUUAAAAUAAUUUUAUUUUCACUCACUCUUAGCAAAACUUUUCUCAUACUUUUAGUGGUUCUAUUUUAUUGUAGCGAAUAAAAUGGAAUACAAUGAAUUAAGCAAAUACGAGAAAAUAUAAGAGGUAGGGGAGUUUUUAAACAAAAGAAAUGAAUAGUACAAAAAUGUUAUGAAAUUUGAGAGCAAAUCAAUAUACUUAUAUGAAGGAGAAUCAUGGGGCGUUUAGGUGGCGACUCUGAAAGAGCUCCAUUCUAUUUUUCUAAUUUUCUGGAAUUUUUGGAUGAAAAAGUAUCAAAAAUAAAAAUUGCCUUUUUUAGUUUCGGAUAUAUUGGAAGAAAGUUUCAGACCUACCUUUUUCAAAAUCUAAAUCUAAUACCAUAAUGAGUUACACUAUGCUAGAUGUUUUGAAUGACGAUAGAGAUGAUUGGCUAAUAAGAGUAAGAGUUUGUCGGAUGUGGUAGUCGACAAAUUCAAACACGGGAGAACAAUAUAGUCUUGACAUGAUAUUGAUAGAUGAAAAAGUUAAUAGAUUAACUGUGAGUGAUAUAUGUUUGUUCUUUAUUUUUUUAUAAUAUUUGUUUUGUUCAUCGGAUAUGUUUGUUAUUGUUAAUUUUUAUAUGGUUUACUUUGUAUACAUGAAAAGAUUAUUCAUGCAAUACUUUCACAAUAUCUGUUUGUUCGGUUCAAGCACCUUUUAAGUGAAACUGUAUAUACAAUAUAAAUAAAGGUUGUUGCAAGGGUAGUUAUAGACCGAGAUUUUAUGGAUUUAAAUUGAUGUUUUUGCAGACAAUCAAUCCAAAAAAGGAAGGAAUCACUAAUAAACCCGUGCAUGGAUUGGAGUUCAUGUGUCCCGAAAUGAUUCAUGUUCGUACAACUAGAACAUAAUGUUUAUCCCUAUUAAAAUUAGGGAUGGUUUCAAAGUUUUAUCUCAAUAUCUUUUAACUUUUACGCACCUAUGUUAAACACAAUCAAAAUUAAGAUUUGUUGUGCUUUGAAUCGUUAAUUACAUGCAAAUUUUUAUUUUCAUUUUUUCACUCAUGAAUUAUAGUCCGAUUUUGUAAUUUUAUAUAUUAAUAUUGGUAUUGCAUCGAGAUGUUUAAAAUAUAAAAUUAUUUUAUUCUAUUAAUAUUAAUUUUGAAUCAUUAAUAUAAUUUUUAUAAGCUGCCGCAAAUUUAUUUUAUAUUAUAAAUAUUUAUAUUAAAUCAUUAAUAUAAUUUUUAUAAUCCGCUAUGAGGGAAUAACGGAUCAAACGUGGAAAGAAAUGUAAUUUUUGAACAAUUAUUUAUAAUAUUUCAAUUUCAUUUCAUUUUUUUCAAAUUCAUUCAUACCAACUGAUAAAGACGAGAUUUCUUAUAAUCAAAGAAAUAUGAUCGUGUAUACUUCUACAGUUCUAUUUGCAUAAUCUGAUGAACCUUUUAAACCUUCUCUUUUUUGUUUUUGGAUGAACCUUUCAGAACAAUUUCAAACCCUCACCCCAACUACUUUGUUAUCGGAGACUAGAAAGGGACAGACAAAUAGUACAAUAUUUUAUUUUUUUCUGCGUGUUUAAAUCCCCAUUCCCCUGCCUCUAUCCGUAUAUAUUCUAGCAAGGAGAGCUCAAAACUUCAAAUUAACUCUCAUUCUAUUUUUCCUCUUCAUUCAAUAAAUAUUCAGAUGUCUUCUCCAGCUCCACAAUUCAUUUUCAGCAACUAUUCUACGCAACUUAAUGUUGCAUUCAUCAACAUAACACCCUCACAAGCACGCGAAAAUGGCAACCAUGCUAUUGUUGGCAUUUUCGGAAUAGCUCUUUCAGUCCUCCUCACAGCCUUGCAACUCAAGUACCAAGCAGGAACCGAUUCUGCAUUCCAGGAUCACCCUAUAGCGAUGGCGAUCGCUAUAGCCAGUUUCCUUCUUUUCUGCUUGGUAUGCGACUUGGAACAAUACUUUGGCUCCACUCGUCGUAACUCAGCUUUUGCAAUAGUAUUGCAUCACUCGCUCAGAUUGCUUGGUUUCCUUUCACUAGCAUCGUUGGCCUCUGUCAUUUUCUCGACAUCCACAAGCUCGACUUCGUCACUCAUUUUUUAUCUGAUUUUCUUAUGCUUUUUUGCAGUAAGGUCAGGUUUGCACUGGAUUCAGAAUAGAAAGUUAGAUAGAAACAGAGGAGCCUGCAAUUUUCACAAUUUAUGUUGAAAUAUAACAUAAAAUCCAUUUGGGACCUUCCUCUAACACCUUAAAGUUUUAGAUGGACUGUUUCUCAACAUGGUCGUGAUCCACUUGCACCCCCACAUUUUGUUUAUAGUGACUAAUUUGUGUACCGUAGAGCUUCUGUGAAUGUUCUUUAGUCACAUCUACUACGCAUGAAUCGGACCAUGGAAGCACUGAAUUUGGGAUCAGAAGAAUGGAUGAUUGAAUGGUGUUUGAAUAGUUGUAAAAUAAAUUGAAGCAGAACAGAGUUGUUCUUUCGCCAUGAGCAGGAGUUCAAAAUUGUUAUUUGAGGCUUUACUAUUACCCUAAUUCUCUUAUGUUUAUGUGGAAGAGUUAAAUGUAGAAAUCUGAACCUGUAUUUUGUGUCUCUGGCCGUACACAAACUAUAUAAACAAUAAAUUUCUAGAUUCGUUCCUAAACUUAAACAUGAUUAUUUAUAAUAAUAUAUAUGACAAAAUUAUAGAAAAAAUGCUUGAUAUACAUAACUAUGUACAAAAUUUUGAACAUGUGGUGGGUUUUAAUUGGAAUGACCGCAUGGAUUUACAUUAACCAUCCCAAUCAAAACUCACCACCCCACCACAUCAACUAUCAACUGUCACAUCAUCAUUAUGUACAAAUUUUCCGUACACAACUAUGUGCACGUAACACUACUCAAAUAAUCAAUAAGGUGUUCCUAUCUCAGCACCCGACAACUGAUCCUUUGAACUUUGAACCUUUUAAGUCCAUGAAUCGAACCGUAUCGAAUCACAUGUGCUCAUCCUUAGUGGCUAUUCAAAGUUUUUAUAUUCGUCAUUUGAAGUCUUGAACCUUUUAAGCAAGACAUGUUGCUUUUUGAACACCAGAACACCUUUUGUUGGUGUUAAGGUGUAGUGAAUCUUUUCCAUCAAAAUUUUGACCUGUUCUGUAUCACUGUAUGACAUAAAAAUUAAGGUCUUUGAACUGUUUUCUUUUAAUAAAGCUCCUUUAUUUGUUGUUUUGUCUUCCGAGAAAAAGAGUCACCUUAGGUCAUGCAUGACCUCCGGUAGAACUUUUCCUUUAGAAAAAUCCCCUAAUCAGGACAAAUUGGAUUAUAAAUAUUUGAAUAUGAGGAUUGUCAAUUUUUACUCUGUGUUAAAUACUUGAUAAAUAAAUAAUUUUGAUGAUAUUUAGGUACUGUUUGGAAACAUGGAUUUCAUUUGAAAUGUAGGAUUUCAAAUCCAGAAUUUGAAAUCCAGAAUUUGAAAUCCAAAUCCAUUGUUUGGGAAUAUUAGAAUUUCAAAUCCUGGAUUUGAAAUCCAAAUCCACUGUUUGGGAUAUCUUAGUAUUUCAAAAGCUGAAUUUGAAAUUUAAACAAAUUUUUACGUAAAAACUUAAUCAUAACUCCAAAUUUAAUCACAAAUGCGUACUUGAAUAUUUAUCUAAAUAAUAUUUUGAAGUUGGCGAUACAUGAAGAUAGAUAUUUAAUCUCAUUCAAAAUUACAAAUAAAGUCUAAGAUAAAAUUCAAACAAAAAUACAAAAACUUCACAGAGACAUGUAUAAUUGAUCAAACAAAAAUACCAAAUUCAAGAAUCUCAACCUUAACACAAAAAUGCUAAUCAAGCACUGAUAACUAUACUGCAGAAACCUGAAAUUAUAUCUGAAAUGCUAGCACAAUCCGGCGUUACUCACACUACACGCUAGCACAAUGGCUUGUUCACCAAAUCUCCGGCAUUACUCACACUACACGCUAGCACAAUCCCGUUCCCAAAAUAGCCCUUCGGCAAGGGAGGAUUCACCAAUCUUGAUCUUCCGUCAACAACAAAUAAUAGCUUGAGUUGUUGGUCUGGUUUCAUCUGAAGAGCUUCAGUUCUUGCCCGCCACACCAAGGCCGUGAGGGCCACAAAUGUGGAGCAGUUCUUGAUGGUCCCGUCUUCCAUGAUCAACUUCUUUAACCUCAUUAGCUUCUCUUGAUCGAAGUUGAAUGCUUUGUAAACCAUCUCAGAUUCUCUUAUAACAAGUCCAACACCUUCUGUGUUCUUCUUGUCACCAUCAGGCUUAAAACAAUACACUGUCUGAAUUAUUGAAGCAAUAUUCUGAUCGAGAUUCGACAAGUAAUAGUAUUCUGGAAUGUGCAUAAAGACUUUAGCAUGAGGAAAAAGACUGAGAAAGCAGAAAGAUUAAAACAUGGAGCAAGUAUAGGAGUUUCCAUCUUUCAUAAAUUUCCAAGAUUUUGAUAAAAACAAAAACCCAAUAAACAGUUUCGAAUUACAAGUUAAUAUCACAAUCAAAAUUCAGAAAAGAUUCUACCUUAUCUUUGAACAAAAAAGUAUACCUGAAUCAGAUGAUGACUUCCCAGCAGAAGAGGCCAGUAACAUUCUGAUUCAAGUGUUUAGGAUCAAGUACACCAGACCCUCACACUUUAGAUUAUGAGCUGUAUGUAUGUAAAUAAAUAGAAAGAAUGCUGGCAUUUCUCAAUCAAAUGAAUCCAUUAUAAAUGCAAGCGAAAAUCGUGCUGCACUUUAACAUGACAACCCACAGAACCACAUAGAAAAAAUGUAUAAAAGUCAUAGAACUCCAGUCCCUCCUACUAGAUAUUCUUCAAACAUUGUUUUGGCAAGUUGAUCUCUAAAUUCAGUCCACUCAUUGGUAGAUCGAGCAGUUGAGAUGAAAUCCUCUUCUUUAUCUUCCACAUCAAUUGCUUCCAUAGCUUCUAGCUCUUCUUCAACCUCUUGCAUAUAUGUUGUUUCUUCCAUGUUUUCACAGAUUAUAUACACAAAUUUAAAAUUUUAAAAUGAGAGCAGAAAUUUAAAAUGACAACUACACAGAUUAUAUACACAAAGUUAAACCCUAAUCACAAAAAUGAGAGCAGUGAAAUCAUAAAUCAUAGGCAGACACAUAGGCAGACUUCUAAAAAUUAUUCAAUUCACUUUCACAGGUUUUUUAUUAAAUCAUAAAUCUUUAAGCACAAAGUCGCAACAGAAAUACCACAGGUCUCAACAUAUUAUUUAUAAUAUAAGUCUAAAUUAUAUACUUAGAAAAAACUUCAAAUUCAGGAAGAAGGUUACAAAACGACCUAAUUAUACAGUUCUAGAUUUAGAAUUCAAAACAUCUGCAUAUAAUACAGGCAUCUGAUGGGCGAAGCCCUGGGGUCUUUGCCAGCCAAGGAUCUUAAAGGCCUGGAAACUAAACUACAGAAUGGACUUUGCAGAGUCCGCUCCAAAAAGGUCCUUAUACAUUCAUAGAAUAUGCUGAUUAUUUCCUAAUAAGAAUUACUUGUUGAAGUACUGAUUCAGAAUAUAUAAACUGCAAAAUGAACUUCUAUUUGCUGAAAUCGAAUUCAUGCGGAAGAGGGUUAGUGCUCAUUUAAUUAGUAUAUAUUUCUCUAUAUUAUUCCUUCAUUUAUUUCCAAAGUGCUCUUUAUUUAUGAGACUAAAGGUAAGGUUUGCGUGUACUGAGACUCCUUGGAUUGUAACUAGUUCUAUAGCUCAAAUUCCUAAUUAAACUGACCAAAAGCACAACUUUCAUGUUUCUAGAUUUGCCAGUAUUGGAUUGUAUUCGAAACGGAAGGGUCUUUGGAAUGGCAGGACUGGAAGGAAGAUGUAAUUGCUCUGGAGAUGCGAAGCUUUAGUCGUUUUGCCAUUACGCAAACACUUAAGCUAGCAGUGAAAUGAUAAUUGAGAGGGGUCUAUAUAACAUGGAGAGAUGGACGUAUUUAUGUGAAUACAGUGUAUGUUACAGUAGCAGAUAGUCUGAGCGAAAUGUGUACAAAUCGGAAAUGUGUACCCGAAAUAUUAUAUCGAGGCACGCACCUAGUGAGUAGGCUAUAAUUGAGAAUCAUUACUCCUCAACUAAUUCAAAUUUUUACAAUAUAUAACACCCAAACCUGAUUUUACCUCGUCUACUGUAUAGGCAACAGAUUAGGUCUUUGUGAUAGAAUUCAAAUCACCUGCCAUCUAGCAGUUCUGGACAAUAUACAUAUACACACAGAUUAUAUACAGAAGGUUAAACCCUAAUUACAAAAAUCAGAGCACUGAAAUCAAUUACACGCACAUAUAUACAUAUAAAUAUCAAAUUAAGCAACAAAUUGAUAACAAUAUAAUCCAAUACUGGCAAGAGAGACAAGGAGAAAGAGAGAUACAGAGAGGGCGAUAGGAAGAGAGAGAGAGGGGGAGAGAGAGGGAGAGAGAGAGAGGCAGAAAGGGAGCGAGAGGGAGCGAGAGGGAGAGGGAGAGAGAGAGGUGGAGAGAGGGAGAAUUGCACCUUCGGAGACGGAAGGAUGGCCGGAGCGAGCAGCAGCGUGAAAGCAGGGGAGAAGAGGAGCGAGCAGCAGAGUGGAUCGGGAAGGAGGAGCUGGAGUGUGCGUUUAGUUUUUUUAUUUCAAAUGACAUGUUUUGGAAUGGCAUUUCAAAUUAUUCUAUUUUGACUUGUGUUUAAGUUUGGAUGGAAUUGAACAAAUCCAAAUUCUGAAUUUUUAAAAUUUGCCAAACAAGAGAUUUGCACAAAUCUUGGAUUUGAAAUCAAAUCCAUGUUACCAAACAGGGCAUUAAGUUAUUCGGACUUGGUUAAAAGUGUUCAACGUGUCUGAAUGUCACUAAUAAUUUGAAGAUUUUACAAUUUUUUACAUCCAAAAUAUAUAAUAGAAUAUCUUUAUCAAUGUAUGCUUAGGGUAUUUAGUGUCGGACACGGUACUCAAUCCCAAAUAAAGAGUCUAGCUAAGACAGGAUAUUCAUAUAUUUGAGUUGCACCCCUUUUUGGGUUAAUUUGUCCUUGAGAAAUAAGAAAAGAAAUUCCAUGCACAUUGUGCAAUGUUGCAUUAUUCUGCAUAAAUUAGUAUGUAGGACAAAGAUGUCAUGCUGGUGAACCUUUUACAUUGCUAGGCCGAAAGGUCGCACUUUAGAACAAGUCCAAAUGUUCUGAUACUCCUAUAAAACUCUAUAUCAAGAAGAGUUGCAGAAUCUCCAAAUCAAUUUCUUUUGGCUCUGCAAAGCAUUAUGAUCAUCAAUUUUGGUCAUGAUGAGGUAACUGCUAAUGAUGCGGCUACAAGGAACAUACUGAUUCAGUUCUGGGAAGCAAGCACCGAGGCUACUGAAGGGGGGCGAAGAUACUGUGAGCUUACCAUACCAGAAAAUUCAUUUGAAAUUCUUCCAUAUGAAGUCGGAGGCCUAUCAUUGUACCGGAUGCACUCCAUUUCUUGUACUCAUAGAAUACAACUUGAUGAUGAAGAAGAUGACUACAUAAUACAGAGUAAGCAGCAAGAGGGAGUAAUUAGUCGCGUAUUCAGGUAUAAAAGGCCUGAGAUGACUCCUCACAUAUCUUUUUACUCUUUACAUGAAUACCCACAUAGAGAGUUUGCUUUAAGUUGUGGGAUUCAGCCUUCUUUGUGUUUCCCUCUAUUUAAAACUGCUGAUUGUUCUGGCCACCCCCGGGGUGUUGUUGAACUUGUCUCCACUUGUGAGCAAGACCUUGAAAACUUCAAGCAGUAUUUCGAGUCAUGCUUCUUUGUACAGGUGUGUGAUUCAAUCCAUUUCCUCCUUUGUGUUUGAAGCAAUGUAAUAUUCUUCAUUACAUGCCAAUUUCAUUCUUUACUUGCAGAAAAUGAGGAUGUAUACAUCAAGAGACUAUAUAUUAUUCAAGUUUUUAAGAAAAAAUGUAAGUAAGACUUUGACAUGAAAAGCUUUUAGUACACUUCAAAUAUGUUCAGACAAUUGUUUGACUACAUAUAUAUACUUUUUGUAUCAGGACCUAAAUCCUGCACUCUGGCAAAUGGACCAUGUCUUGACACUGGUGUGUCAAAAAUUCCCUUUGCAUCUUGCUCAAUUCUGGGUCCUGACCAACCCUAAAUUAGGAGCCCUCAGCGUAAUGUCUCAGAAAAGUAAUCUAGAUUCCGAAGAGUUGGCACCCUUGUGUAGGUUCAAAGAUGCUUGUUUGCAGACGCACUUGAACAUAGGUGAAGGCCUUGUUGGCAAAACAUGUCUAUUCCGUAAAUCCUUUUCUUGCAGGAAUAUUAAAAAAUUCAACAUUACUAACUACCCCUUGGCACACUAUGCACGAAGCUGUGUAUCAAUUGCUUGUUUUACAAUAUUCUUGCGUAGCUUUUUCCCACCAUUUGGAGAAUGUGUACUAGAGUUCUUUCUGCCUUCUCAAGAACUGUCUAAUUAUUACCCUCAAACCAUGUCGAACUCUCUAUUGACAACAGUGAAGGAGCAUCUUCCAUAUUAUACAUUUGAUUUAGGAGAAGAAUUGGGAGAAGUGCCAACAUUAGAAGUUAUCAACUCUUCUUCAACCAGGGAAAUAUUUAAACGAACACACAAGAAUGCUGUUGCAGUAAUCAAUUGUUAGUCCUUUUACCUAUUUGUUUAGCUCGACAUGUUCCAGCCUUCUUCUGUUUUUUAUUUGGUAAAUAUAUCAGCCCAACUAAUUAUUUUGUUGCUUUGCAGUAGAUGAAUUGGAAGAAUCAUCUGUUAAGCUGAUAGAACCUCAGUCUCUCACUCCCAAACCUAAUAGGUCUAAAGAAAUUAUUGAUGAGGCAAACACUAUGGAGAUCAAUCAUUUCAGCCUGGAGAUUACUCUGGAAGAGGCUAUAAGGAACAGAGAAUACACUGUGGCUGCUAGAAGAGGUAAUACAACCUCAGUUGUGCAGGAAAAACUUCAAAGUGCAUACUUUACCAAAUAUACAAGUCCUUGUAAAAUUUAUAAAUUUUUUGCACUCCACCAAAAUGGAAGACGGAUUUUUGUUUUCUUGGUGGAUUCACAGUAGAUGAACUGCUCGAAGACGUUGGACAUGAUAAGACAACUGCAGUGGGUUCUAGUUCACAAACCAGGAUAUCACUACCUCAUCAAGAAGUCGAAGAAGAAAAACUGACAGCCGAUACUUCAGUUCAGAAACUGAUCCUGACAGAAGAUGUCUUCCGAAUAAAAAACAAAGGGAUUAUUGUGGGAGCAGAAAAUGUUGAUAGACCAAUCCAAUUCGUGAGCAAAACAAGCUUACAGGAUGAAUUAGAAACAGAGAAACAAGCAGAAAAGAAAUUCAGUUAUGAGAGUCUUAGUCAGCAUUUUGGAAGGCCACUAGACGAUGUAGCAAAGAGAUUUGGGAGUAAGUUCCCUUCUACCAUGCUUAUUUUAGUUUAUUUGAUUCCAAAUUUUUUUCCUAAAUGACGUGGCAGACCUAUGACUAAUUUUAAUUGGAUGGUUGUUGUGCGUACAAGAUCCCAUAUUAUUAUUACUGUGAGUUGAACCAAUCAAACAUUGUCAACUAGAUUUGGAAACACUUUUUGGUACCUAGCAUUUCCUUUUUUAAAUACAAUAUCUAAUCUCAAUUUUCACUAUCUUAGUCAGUCGAUCUACAUUUAAACGCAAAUGUAGAGAUCUUGGUAUCAAAAGAUGGCAAUAUGGAAGGAGAAGUACGGAUGACAAUGUUUCCUCCAAGCUCAGAGAAAGAUUGAAUGCCAAGGAACCGAGUAAAAGAAGAUAUACUUGUUCAGGCAUUUCUUCCGUGCAGGAUAAAUGCCUGAACAAGGUUGCUACUGCAGAUAAAAGGCAAGACCCGAAGAAGAUGAUUGUAGAGGCAACAUACUACGAUGCUACCAUAAGAUUUGAACUACCUGGUUUUACAAUUGCAGAAUUAGAAGAUAAUAUCAACGAGAGGCUGCACUUGGAGAGGCAAAGUUUCGUCAUCAAGUAUGAAGAUGAUGAGGGUGACUGGAUAUCAAUUGCCUGCGACGAGGACUUGCAGGAAUGCGUGGAAAUAUCAAAAUCAUCAAACAAUACAACAAUUAAGAUGUCGCUGGAUCCACGUAUUAAUCCCCAGGCACAGUGAAUACAGAUGUCACCUUGCUCCUAACACUAAAGAAGUCACGGUUCUCUGUCUCCUCUGUCUCCGUAUAUCAGUACUGUAAUUUCAAUCCUGUCUAUGUUGUAAUUUAACCUACAUCAACGUGUAGAUGCAUUAGUGUUUAUCCAUCAAUCGUCGCAGGUAAAUUUGAGUGGAAUUCUUUAGGCGUGGUAAAUAUUUAGCCGUUUAUGAUGAAGUGUAAUUAACUGAUCCGAUUUUUUAGUGUGCUGACACACUGACAAACCACUUUUUAAGUGAUGAGGUGGAUUUUUAUUAAUUUUAAUCUUAUUAAUAAUCAUGACCCUCUCGCUGUCACGCAUGCAUAAAAAUAUCCGUUAAUCAAAAUCUUGAACCUAACUAAAUAAAGCAGUACACAAUAAGAAAAACCAUUAAAUUAAAUUGUGUAAUUUAUAGUUGGGAAUAAAUUAUACAUUACGCUAUUUAACAAUGGUUUGACACUAAUGCAGGCCAGCUCAUCAUUCACGAGUCCUCUAAUUUAAAUUAUAUUAAAAAUUAUUUUUGAUUGUUAUAUCUUGAAUAUUUUUAUUAAAUAAGAUUAUAGAUAAAAAUUUAAAAAAUAAUAAUCCAAACUAUCUCUUUUAAUACCUUAAAUUAAACUAAUUGUAAAAAUCAAAAAAUAUGUAAAAGGGACCAGAGAGUAUAUAGCUUGUCGGUCUUUGGUGGUUUGGCUUUUUCUUGUGUGGUCCUUGCAUGAACUGAGAACCUUUUUGAACCCUUUCAUUUUUUGUUUUCCAUGAACCUCUUCAAAUAUAUUCAGUAGAAGCAGCUUCUGGCUUUUGCUUUUCUUGACCCGUUUGUGUAACAGCUUCUGCUUCUUUUCCAAAUAUUUUAUUCACUUAUUUACUUCUCACUUCUGCUCCACUUCUCUAGUUUAAGCGAAAAGUCACUUCUUUUAAGCUUACUCAAACGGCCCCUUAGUUAACAGAAACUAGACAGGGACUUGGAUGACAGAUGCAAUACAGUAUUUUUCAUAAACAAGUAUAUAAAUGUAGGAAAGCUCAUGGUACUUCAACAAACCUGCAAAUCAACUCUGCCUCUUUUUUCUUCUUAAGUUACUGUUUCUAUUUUCAGAUGUCUCCUCACCAAUUCAUACUCAGCAACUAUUCUAUGCAACUCAAUGUUGCAUUCAUCAACAUAGCCCCCACACGAGCCCGAGAAAAUAAUAAUCACGCGAUUGUUGGCAUUUUGGGGAUAGCUGUUACAGUCCUCCUCAGCGCCUUGCAACUCAAGUACCAAGCAGGAACCGGUUCUGCAUUCCAGGAUCACCCGAGAGCCAUGGUUUUCGCUAUAGCAAGUUUCCUUGUUUUCUGCUUGGUAUGCGACUUGGAACAAUACUUUCGCUCUACUCAUAAAUAAUGCAGCUUUUGCAACAGUACUGCACCACAUCCUCAGAUUGUUUGGUUUUAUUUCACUAGCCUCUUUAGCCUUUGUCAUUUUCUCGCCAUCCACAAGCUCAAGGACGUCGCUCAUUGUUUAUCUGAUUUUCCCCGGGUUUUUUUCAGCAAGGUCGGUUAUUCACUGGAUCCAGAAUAGAAAUUUACGUGGAAACAGAGGAGCCUGCAAUUUUGAUAAUUCACACCCGCACCUUGUGGAUAGGGACUAUUUGAACUACGUAGAUACUCUUCCAGUGUACCGCAGAGCUCCUGAGAAUCUUGUUUAGUCACUUCUGGUCCCCUAGUUGUUUUUGGUUUACAAUUCAGCAUGUCAGCUUAAAUCAGGGGGCUUUUGGCUCAUGAUUAAUGAGCCCGGUUAACAAGAAUCAGAACCUCAAACUCAUGUGUUGGUAUUUGGGUUAACCAUUUUGUGGUACGGAAUUUUUGAGUUGUAGGCUUUGUCAAGUUGUAAUUACUUUGAUUAACUGAUACAAAUCUUUAGCAGUGCAACGAAAUUGAAGAUCACAUAAACCACAAAUAUCAAAGUCUUAAUUAGUUACUUCCUCCGUCGCGGUCAUUAGUUAUCAAAUGGGCUGGACACGGAGACCAAACACUGAAUAAAUAAUGUGGAAACAUGCCAGUGAAUAUAAUUAAAAAUAACAUAAGUGAGAAUAAUGGUGGGAUCCGUCGACAAGCAACUCGUCGCACAAAUAUGCAAUGAUCGUGAGAUUUCGUUACAUUUCCGACGUCCUUGAACCAUGUACUUCUAUUGUUUACGAUGAUUGAUCGGAGGCUCAACCAACAACAUGAUUGAUGUUUUCUUCAAUGAUCGUGAGAUUUCGAUGCAUUUCCGCACGUCCUUGUCACAAGCGAUCAAGAUCCAAAUGUCCUCAUCAUCUCGGUACUUAAUACUGAAACUCUCCCUCUCCAAGUGCAGCCUCUCGAUCACAUUAUUUUCUAACUCUGCAAUCCCUGAUGAAUCAGAUAAAUCAAACCUUAUAGUCACACCAUUGAACAUUGCCCUUACAGUCACCUCAUUCAAGGUUUGGCUUAUCUGAUCAACAGCAGGUGCUUUUUCCCCGGGAGGCAAACCCGAAUGAAAGUUUUUUCCAGCUUGUUCAUCGUCACUUGAUCUUCUCCUAAGAUUAGAUGACAUGUUUCCUUUUAUGCUUUUCUUGCCUCGUCGCCAGUCAUUAAUACCAAGACCUCUACACUUGCGUUUGAGUGUCGAUCGACUAACUAACAUAUUGAACAUUCUAAAUAAGAUGCACAGCUAUAAUAAUGGUUCAACAGAAAAUAACUUUUUUUUGAAUAAUGAAAGCUGAAAGAAGUGCAAGAACAUAGAAGAGACCGACUCAACCAUGAAUUCUUACGAAGAAAUUUAGUUUUAGUGUUUCUAACUGUGUAAUUUGUUCGGCAUUUCUUCACUAGAUUAAUAUGUAUGAAUUGUACACCUUAAUUAUCUGUACUCGACUACAUUGGCUUUGCAGCAGAUGAAAGUGUUCAAGAAUCACCUGUUAAUAAUAUUGCUUAUGCUCUCACUAAUGAAGAUGUGAACUAUGCUCUAAAUAAUAAAGACGACAUGAACCUCGAGAAUGUUAGUAAGCAUUUCGGAAGACCACUCAAUGAUGCAGCAAAGAGCUUUGGAGGUAGGUUAUAUUCUACUGUACUUCUAUCUUUCAACUUACAUUAUUCCCAAAACAUUCAUUGCCUAAGCAUUGUUGUGUAUUUAUUUUGAUAUUGAACAUUUUAGUUAGCCGAUCCACAUUCAAGCGCAUAUGUAGAGGGCUCGGUAUCAAGAGGUGGCAAUCCGGGAAGAGAAGAAUGAAUGGUAACUUUUCAUCUAGGCUCGGAAAAGGAAUAAAUCAGGAGCAACCAGGUAGAAGAAAUUUUGGUAGCACCAGCAUGGCAGCUGUGAAUGAAACAGUUGUUGUGCAUUCUAGCCAAGACUUGAAUAAGAUGAUUGUAAAGGCAACUUAUAAGGAUGUUGCAAUAAGGUUUAAACUACCUGAUUUAUCAGGAAUUGCAGAGUUGGAAAAUAAUGUGAUUGAGAGGCUGCAUUUGAAGAGAAAUAAUUUCACCAUCAAGUAUCAAGACGAGGAGGGUGACUUGGUUUUGAUUGCCUGUGACAAGGAUGUGCGAGAAUGUAUUGAAAUCUCGAGAUCUUUGAAGGAAACGACAGUCAAAUUGUUGCUUGAUCUGCCUCUUAAUCACAAUGCACUUUGAAAGCAUAUG